rnacentral:lncRNA from 1 species
AUAUUUUAGAAACUUCGAAAAGAAGAAAGUUGAGAGGGUGUUUGUUAAUAAGAAAAUUGAAAGCUUUUUUUUUUUAGAGAUAGAGUAGCAUAUUAUCCGUUUUGUUUAUUUUAUUUAGAAAUAACCUUAGCUGGAAAUGUAAAUCAACUAGGAUUCAAACUUAGGAUCUGGAUAUCAAUCAUGAAAUUCUUUGCCACUUGUGCUAGAAACGGUUUCCAGAAUAACCUAUAGUUGAGGAAGUCUCCAUACAUUUCUAUCAAAAAGAAAAAGAGAAAAGUAAAACGUGAAAUAAAGGAAAAAGGAGACACAAAAGACAUGAAAAUAGUCAUUUGAAUUGGAAUCCAAGGACGAAACUCAGUUUGGUUCAAUUUGGUUUGAUUUUCAAAGUGAGAAUAAACCAAAACAGUUUAGGUUUAAUUUAGCAAUAUGUUGUGUAAAAGAAUAAAAUAUAAGACUUUUAAAAUGAAUUUGUUAUGACUGUUUGAUUAAAAAAAAAUAAAAUUGAUGGUCCCUCACUAUUUUCAAAAAGGUGAAAUCUCAUUUCAUAAUAGAUUUUUUUUUCAAUCGUCUUCUUUAUUUCUCUCUCCUCCUUUAUUUUCCUCUCUGAAAUUUUAUUUUAUAAUAACAUUCUCUUUAACCGUAAUAGAUUAUCACGACUUUUUUUAUUUUCCUCCCCGCUUUAUUUCUCUCCCCACACUAUUAUUCUGAUGUUUUCUUCCUCACGCCACAUUUUUAUCAUCCCUACUCCGGAGCAUAAACUUUUUUUCUCCGCCCUAUAACAUUAAUUUUUUUCCACCCCUUCUUUUAAUUCAGAUUCUGUCUGUUUACCCGAUAGAUCAUCAGAUAUCCACACACCUUUUUUUUUCUUUAAGUAAGAAAAAUUCGAAAUUAUGUUAACCACUAAUUACACAAACAAAACAACAAAAAGUAAUGCUAACUUUUUAAAUAACUAUUUUUUUAAAAAAAUAGUGCUGCUGAAAAGCCUCACUCUUUUUUAAACCUUUUUACAAUUAAACAUGCUGAGAAUUUUUAAAACAAUCUGACCUAAUUCCUUGAAAUAAAUUAUAUAAUAAUAUUGAAAAAAUUAUUAUUUGAUAACUUAUUCCGAUAUCAAAGUAAUGCCUAAGUGACAAUUCAAUCUGCCAAAACACUACAAGUAUUUUGAAUACAUCAAAAAAAUAUAUUGAACAAUAUAUCUGUAUACCCAAACAAGACCAAAAUAUUUAGAAUGCAAUAGUAUACUCGACCUUCAAAUUAUUUCUAAGAAUAAAAUAGAUCACAUCGUGAGAAAAGUAUGACAUUAUACCAAAUUGUAAAUGCUAAGAUUUUUCAAGAAACAAAAAGAAAUAACACCUCAUUAAAAGAAAAAAUUUUGUUUUGUUAUUAUAGCUGGUUAACUUACAAUGUAUCCCCUUAGAAAGUAGAAAAAAAAAAGUAAUUUUUAAACCUCAUCUGGUAUUAUUGUCUUUUUUUUUUUUUAACACUAAUUCUGUAUAAUUUAAUAUGCCGAGAAAAUACUUUCUUUUUUUGUUGUUAUAAUUGAUUAGUUUACGGUAUCCGUCCAAGUAUAAGACGACGACUUAUUUAAGAAAAAAAAUGGAAGCAAGAAAAAUUAUUUUCUAAGUUUUCAUUUUUAAUUAUUAAAUAAAUAUUUUAGAUGAAAAGAUUACAAGUAAUUUACCAUCCACUUCUAUAUCUUUUGAUAUACAAAAUUUUAUUUAUAAUAAUAAAAUACGAAAAACGAUACCACACGAAGCUUUAAAUUUUUAAUUUUUUUGCUGCCAAACAAAUAUUUUAGAUAAUAAAGAUUAUAAGCAAUUCACUAUCCCACUCUUCUAAUUUUUUGUUGUACAAAAUUUUAUUUAAGAAAAUAAAAAACAAACACCACACAAAACGAGGCAGAUAUUUAUUACUAUAACCACCGAAAUAUAUAUAUAUAUAUAUAUAUACACACACUAAGAAUUAGUCUAGAAUACUAUUAAUAGUAAAAUACUUUUUUUGUUAUCAAAAUUUUAACUCUUGGAUGAAAAAUUGCAAGAUCAUGAUGAUAUUAGUCGGUUAGAGUUGAGUGGUCCCCCUAGAGUUGAGUGGCCCCCACUAAAUUAUAGUAUUUAAUCCAAUAGUUAGAAAUAAUGAAAAGAGCUGAUCCAAAGGCUAAAAAACUGGUAGCAACAAUAAAAUUUUACUAUUAAUAGUAGCCCAGUCCAACUCUAUAUACUAAAUAAGUUACUAUUGAAUAUCAUACAGCCAGCUCAACCUCUUCUCCAGAACUCUCUCUCUCUCUCAUCACAAAAAAAAAAAAAAAAAAAAAAAAGGGAAAAAACUUGAAAGGAAGAACGCAUCAAACCGCACCAUCUUUCUCGUCCAAAAAUGCACCGGAAUAAAGCGUUAUUGAUAGGCUAAAUUACACGACUAGUUCCCAAACUUUCAGUUAAUCUUCAUUUUGAUCCUUAAAACAUUUGAUAAUAAUAUUUUGUGCCGAUUUAAAAUCUGAGGUUAGAGACCUUAAUAAAUUCUUUUAAAAAAAUUCCAAUCUAGCCACCACUGUGGUGGGUUUUGUUAUUACAAAGCUGCCCACACCCAACCCAUUUGUACAUUUAUGUACCAUACUUACAUACCGGCCCUUUUUCCCAUCUUAUAUUUCAAUCCAAUUAUCCAUCGACUUCAAAUAUAUUUUUUUUACUUACAUAUUGAAUCGUUGAAUUGAAAUAUGAGACGGAUGAAACAUUCAACAAAUUAAUGGUGAAGUUGUGUAGUGCAAUUUACCCCUCACAAGAAAUCAAGGGAUUGAGAGUUGAUUCUCAGUUCAAAAUUUUCAUGUGAGUUAAAUCUACCACUCGAUUUCGAUAAAAUAGUUUGGGAGGUACAAAACUUUCGAAACCAGAAAUAUAUAUAUAUAUAUAUAUAUAAAAGGAGUGCAAGAAAAACACUAACAAAUGUUGCCGCGAAUCUAAGUAAAAUUUAAAUAUCACAAAAUUGUACAAAGGUUUCAACUGGAAGUUGCGGUAUCAGCAAAUGGACUAACCAGGGCUCAUCGCAUGUUACCUUCUCGCAGGACAUCGAUCAUGUUGUAUAUUUUCUUAUCGGCCUUAGACUGAACCUGCAUUGGCAAAAAAAUAUGAGUGUCGGAUUGCUCUUCCUUGUACAACGGAAAAUAGGGACCGAACUCCUAAAGAAGAAGGUGAAAUGUAUUAAUAGUCACUUUUCUUUUAGUAACUCCUGUCGAUAAUUUCUAGGGCUUGUUAGUUUGUAUGCAAAACUGAUAUUAGGUUAAGUUCAGGAAAAUACUAUUUAAAGUGAAAGAUUGGGGACUAAAUUGCAACUAAUAGAAUUUACAGGAGAAAAUUAAAGAAUGAAGUAUCAGGAGACCUUCUUAUACAAAAACAUAGCAGCAUCAACAGUUCCCUCGGCAUAUAUUGAACGACCGCAGACAUUAUGCUGGAACUCAAAUGAAACACUGGAAGCAACAUUAAAAAUUUACAUUAAUAAGCAGGUAAUAGGAAUUAUUCGUGCAUAACAGAACUCAGCGACUAAUAAGAUGAAAAAAAAUAGGGUAAUAUAUAUUACGUUUCGUCAGGCGAAGUGAGAUGAUAUAAGUGAAAUGCAUGGCCUGAGAGGUACUCCUCAGGGACACCCACCAUGUCAAGUUGCUUCUUAGGGUCUCUAAUCUUUUUUAUCUGGUGAUGUUAAAAAAAAGAAGAAAAAAGUGAGUUUUUGAGAAUACACAUUAAAAGGAAACUAUCAAAACUAAAAUCAUAAAUGCUAUGAGAUGUAUUAAAGUUCAUGAUGUAAAAUAUAGGCACAUUCUGCAAAUUAAUAAGAGUAAUUGACACAACAAAGACCACCGAAGAUAGCCACAUACUAUUCAGAAACAAACAGAGCUUGACUAAAAUAAACCAAGUACCGAGUUCGCGCAAAAUGCUUGAAAGCUAAAUGCAAACAAAGGAUAUAACAAGAAUGUAUUAAUACAUAAGUCAAGAGCCUAUAGAUAUCUACGAUCAAACUAAAUAUGGAAAUAGGAAGCUUCAGUUAUAUCAAUUUCACUGAUAUUCACCUCACAAUGAAAAAGAAAAGGGAAAAUAAGACUCUACUACGGCACUUUAUUGUAAAUGUGAGAACAAUCAAAAGAAAAAGUGUUGUUGCACAUGGUAGGCUACAUCACCUAAAAAAGAAAAAGACGUGAACAGAGAAGGUUGAAGCAUUAAGAUACUAAGAUAGUUCAUAAACUAUCACUAGCGACUCUCGAACAGAAAUGCAAACAUAGAAGCAGAGAUUCAGCAUCAAACAUAUUUGCUUACAAAAAGCCAUGUAUUUGCCAAAUGUUGACAAUACAACAAAUAAAUAAAUAAGAUCCGACAAAACUGAUGGCAAAGACUAAGUUUCUAAAAACAAACAUUUCAAGCUAACGAUAACAUAUUGAACGUAAUGAAAGGAAUAUUUUAUUAUUUGAGUACAAAUAUGUUUCGCAAAAGCCCAUACCUGCUUUAAAUUAAAUGAGACACCCAAUUUCUGAAAGCAAGAAAUGACAGCUUUAGCUGUACCAGAUGUGUCCAAUUUGCCUGCUUGAUGUGACUCCAUCACCUGUAAAUUUUCGAAUAUUCAGUAUGGGAAACAUUAACCUGUGAAUAAUGGUUAUAAUAAUAAUAUGAUAUAUUUCUGAGUACCACAUAUCAUAACUGUGGAGAAGAGCAUCAUAAUCUAGCACACUCUUCUCCGCUCCCUGUGCCAAGGAGCUAAUUGUAAAUAGAAAUGUAGCCUUUUACAGAUCACACGAGGUAGAGUAGUGUUUCUAGUCUUCUACAGUUUGGAACAUUCUUGGAAGUAUCUUUUAUCCUCUAUCUUUUGUAAAUGACUCACAAAAUCAUAAGUCAGACAAGGAGUAAAUUUUACUAAAUUCAAAUUUCAAAUUUGUAAUGUAUUCAAAUUUGUAAUGUAUUGAGAAGUGCUUUACAAAACCGGCUUUAGAGCAUCAUGACCGACUCUAUGUAGCUCUUUCUGUUAGACAACUCUCAUAAAUUGGGUGGAAUUAUAGAUUAAUAAAUAGACAGUGAGCCUUCAAAGUCACAAAUAUGCAGAUGAUUACAUUGAUACAGACAUCAGAGUUCUGUUGCAGAGCAAGGUAGCGAAGCAGAGCAAGGGAGCGAAGCUUGGUUAGGGAGUAGAGCAGUUAAUUAAUAACAGGGAAUUACGGCAUUUUCCCAUAAUAGUUGCCGACUUCAUUCAUAGGUAACAUUGAGGUGGGAUGAUCGGAGCCGGUCCAAAUCAUAUGAUCCUGGCUGUGUAUCAGGGUAACUGAAUUAACAACCAGGACCCGCCUGUUAAUUUUUCCUUUUAAUUACAAGUUUGCCAUUGUAACUAAGUAUAAAUAGACUGAUUAGGGCCAUUGUAAUUCAUCUUUGAGUAUCAAUAUAAUUUUCUCUCCAUUCCUCUACACUGGUCUCUUCUCUUCCUCCUCCUCCCUCCCAUUUCUGUGUUUAUGAUAAGGAGAACACCAGAAUUCACCAUGAAUUCUCUGCCUCCUUGGGUUGAUUAGUAGGCUGCAUCAGUGGUAUCAGAGCGGUCGAACCUCGGCCAUCUCGCUGCACUAAUAUGGAAACGAGGUCGCAGGAGCUGAAGAAGAUGGAAGAAUUGUUGCGGACGAUGAUCAAAGAUGCUACCAGUCACCGGGAGCAAUCCGUUCAGGAGGUUAGAGAGCAACAAGUGAGAGACAUGGAGGUCCGCCAAAUGUUUGUUAAUUUGCAAGCGUCUGUUUCGGCAGGAGUUAAUUCAAAUUACUCCUCUACGUCAAAAACUGAAGGUAAUCCAUCUACUAAACUACAACUUUCGACGAGAUUCACUAAGUUAGGGUUUAAUGGCGAAGAACUUAAGGGAUGAUUGUAUAGAUGUGAGCAAUUCUUUGGGAUUGAUGGAACCCCUGAAGAUUCCAAGGUCAAGAUAGCUGCUAUCCACUUGGAAGGGAGAGCUUUGCAAUGGCAUCAAGUUUUCAUGAAGGCUAGAUUAACAAGAUCUAGGCCAACCUGGGAAGAGUAUGUGACGGCCCUCAACACCCGGUUUGGUUCUGAGCUAUAUGACGACCCCAUGUCUGAGCUGAAGAAAUUGAGACAAACUGGAACUGUUCAAGAGUAUCAGGACAGAUUUGGUGAAUUGUUAAAUCGGGUAGAUCUCUCCGAAGAAUAUGCUGUUAGCUGCUUCUUGAGUGGAUUAAAAGAAGAAAUUCAAAUACCAAUACGAAUGUUUCAGCUGAGAACACUUCAGAAGGCUCUUAGUUUGGCUAAACUACAAGAGGUAUCAGUGGAAGCCUCCAACAAACAUAUUAAGAGUGGAACUAAACCCAUGCCCUUGAAUACUCCACCUCUGUUACCAACUCCCAAGAGCAUUGGAGGCCAUCAUAAUUCCGGCAACUUUAGAGCUCCAAGACCUCCCAUGCAGCCGGGAAUUGUAAAUUCUCAAGGAACUAAUCCAACUAAGACUCUGAGGAGUGUGUCAAACUCUUGACUUCGAUGGGCGCAGAGCCAAAGGAUUGUGUUUUGGUGUGAGGAGAAAUACGCACCAGGUCACCAGUAUAAGAAAAGGCAAUUAUACAGAAUAAAGUAAUUGAAGAGUCCCAUGAAGUAGACCAGGGAGAAUCAGAGGAAGAAGUUUCGACGGAUGAGCUACUUAACUCAGCACUCUUGAUAUCUUUGAAUGCACUAGCCGGGUCCAACCAACUGCUGGAUUACAGAACUAUGAGACUCUCUGAGACAGUGAAGAAUAGAAAAAUACAUAUUCUAAUUGAUUCUGGGAGUACACACAAUUUCUUGGACCUAGCUGUAGCUAAGAAAUUGGGUUGUCAGAUCGAGCCAUUCCCUCCGGUGCGAGUAACAAUAGCAGAUGGCAACAAGGUGUCUUGUUCUUCCAUUUGCAAGGCCUUCAAGUGGAAAAUGCAGGGACUAGAAUUUGAAGCAGAUUUGCUUUUGUUACCAUUGGGUGGUUGUGAUGUAGUGCUCGGCAUACAAUGGUUAGUGAAGCUAGGCCCUAUGUUAUGGGAUUUCAAGCAAUUGAAGAUGGAAUUUCACAUUAAAGGCAGGAAGAUAUCCUUAAGAGGCUCUCCACAAGCUUCUUUACAAGUCAUUGAGGGCAGGCAAUUGAAAAAGAUGAUGCAGACUGAUACCAAACUGUUUUCUAUGCACUUGUGCUGCAUUCAUUUUGCUGAACCUUUUAUUAGUAACUCUGAAGCUAAGAUUGUAAAUAGAACUUAUAAGACUCAUUCUACACCAAGGUUUCUACAACAAGUGCAAUCAUUACUGUUGGAAUACUCGGGAUUAUUUGCUGAACCUGAAGUAUUGCCACCACACAGAUCGCAUGACCAUAAAAUCACACUAAAGGAAGGUACUAAUCCCAUAAAUGUAAGACCUUAUAGAUGUCCAGCCUAUCAAAAAAAUGAGAUUGAGAAAAUUGUGCAAGAUCUAUUGGCUCAGGGAGUAAUUAGGCCUAGCACUAGUCCCUGUUCAUCCCCGGUGGUGUUAGUGAAAAAGAAGAAUGGCUCAUGGAGAAUGUGCAUUGAUUACAGGACCUUAAACGAGUGUACAGUGAAAGAUAGGUUCCCAAUACCAUUGGUGGAUGAAUUAAUCAACGAAUUGCAUGGGUCAACGCAUUACUCUAAGCUAGACUUGAGAUCAGGGUACCACCAAAUUAGAAUAUUCGAAGAUGAUAUUCCGAAAACUGCCUUCCGGAUGCAUGAAGGACAUUACGAAUUUUUGGUUAUGCCUUUUGGGUUGACCAAUGCUCCUUCCACCUUUCAAGGUCAAAUAAAUGAAAUUUUCAGACCAUAUUUGAGGAAAUUCAUCAUUGUAUUCUUCGAUGAUAUUCUGGUGUAUAGCAGAGGAGAGGAUGAACAUCUCGCACAUUUGAGAAUAGUUUUUGACAUCUUGAAGCAACAUUCGUUGUUCAUCAAGGAGAAGAAAUGUACAUUUACUGCACCUAGAAUAGAGUAUCUAGGACAUGUCAUUGAUCAGAAUGGAGUUUAUAUGGAUCCUCAGAAGAUCAAAUCCAUUAAAAGUGGCCUAUGCCUGCUACGGUGAAGGAAUUGCGAGGGUUUCUUGGGCUGCAGGAUAUUACAGAAGGUUUGUGAGAAAUUAUGGUAAAAUCAGCCAACCACUACACUAUAUAAGUGGACUGAGGAUGGACAACGGGCAUUUCAUGAUUUGAAGAGGCUGUUAGUAGUGCACCAGUUUUAGCAUUACCAAAUUUCAAUGAAAAAUUCACCAUUGAAGCGGAUGCUUCGGGAAUUGGUAUUGGAGCAGUCCUUCAGCAAAAAGGGAGACCAAUCGCCUUCAUGAGUAAGGCUCUAUCCCCCCGAAAUAGGUCUUUAUCAGUGUAUGAAAAGGAAAUGCUAACAAUUGUGACAGCAAUUCAAAAAUAAAGAGCAUAUCUAAUUGGGAGACAUUUUAAAAUCAAAACAGACCAUCAAAGCCUUAAGUUCCUGAUGGAGCAGCGGGUAUCAACACCAAGCCAACAGAAGUGGGUAUCAAAAUUGAUGGGCUACGAUUACGAAUUAAUCUACAAGAAGGGCCAGGAGAACGUGGUGGCUUGUCUAGAGCUCCAACUUUAGCUGCGGUUUCUAUUGUGAAAACAGAGUUAUUUGACGAAAUUCGGAAGAGCUGGGAGACAAAUACAGAAUUGAAGUCCUUAAUAGAAGCAAAGCAACACGAUCCUGCAUCUAGACAUCAUUACACAUGGGCUCAUGAUCAGCUAAGAAGGAAAGGGAAGUUGGUUGUAGGAAAUGAUGCUAACUUAAAACAAAAGCUUCUCCAGGAAUUUCAUAGUAGCAGUACUGGAGGACAUUCGGGCGUUGAUGUCACUACCAAGAGAAUUAGUAGCUAUUUCUAUUGGAGGGGUCUCCACAAGGAUGCGAAAAAGUUCGUGAACGAAUGUGACAUAUGCCAAAGAAACAAGAGUGAAAGCAUGGCACCUGCUGGAUUACUACAACCUUUACCAAUUCCUGACAGAAUUUGGACUGAAAUCUCCAUGGAUUUCAUAGAAGGGUUACCUCCAUCCUAUGGUAAGGAAGUGAUUUUUGUUGUGGUAGAUAGAUUGAGCAAAUAUGCCCAUUUCAUAACACUUUCUCACCUUUAUUCUGUGCCAACGGUGGCCCAAGCCUUCUUUGAUAAUAUAUAUCGACUGAAUGAUCUUCCAAAAAGCAUCGUGAGCGAUAGAGAUGCUGUUUUUAUUAGUCACGUAUGGCAGGAAUUGUUUAAACACUUGAAGGUUCAGCUGAAUAUAUCCACAACCUAUCACCCGCAGUCGGAUAGGCAAACCGAAGUGGUGAAUAGAUGUUUAGAGAAUUAUCUGAGAUGUAUGACAGGAGAGCAACCUAAAGAUUGGGUUAAAAGGUUGGCUAUGGCGGAAUGGUGGUACAAUACUGUUUCACACGGCAAUUAAAUCAACACCUUAUGAAAUCGUCUAUGGCCAAACCUCACUCUUACAUAUUUCCUACUUAGCCGGAGAUUCUCACUUUGAGGCUAUAGAUAGAAAUCUUACUCACAGGGAGGCUAUUCUAAAAUGCUCAGGCACAAUCUGCAUAAAGCGCAGAAUCGCAUGCGACAAUUGGCUAAUAAGAGGAGGUCCAAGAGAGAACUACAAGUUGGGGAUUGGGUGUAUGUGAAGCUUCAACCCUACCGUCAAGUUUCAGGACAACGACGAACUUCACAAAAACUAGCUCCAAAGUAUUUUGGGCCAUUUCUUGUAGUUGCUAGAGUUGGUCAAAUUGCUUACAAAUUGCAAUUGCCUGAGACAGCAAAAUUCACCACACCUUCCACAUCUCACAGCUAAAGAAGAAGAUAGGGUCAGCAGCAUCGUCUUCCACCAUUCCUGCUUAUGUGAAUGCUGAAGGCCAGCUAUUGGUGGAAUCAAUUGCUGUUUUGGAUAGGCGCAUCACGAAAAGAGGUAACAAUGCUGUCACACAGGUCCUGAUACAGUGGUCAAACCUACCUGAGGAGGAAACGACAUGGGAGUACCUCUUUGAUCUCCAAAAGAGGUACCCGAACUUUAAUCCUUGAGGACAAGGAUUGCUUCAAGAAGGGGGAUCUGUUGCAGAGCAAGGUAGCGAAGCAAAGCUAGGGAGCUAAGCUUGGUUGCGGAGUAGCGCAGUUAAUUAAUAACAGGGAAUUAUGGCAUUUUCCUAUAAUAGUUGCCGACUUCAUUCAUAGGUAACAUUGAGGUGGGAUGAUCAGAGCCGUUGGUGGUCCAAAUCAUCUGAUCCUGGCCGUGUAUCAGGGUAACUAAAUUAACAACCAGGACCCACCUCUUUACUUUUCCUUUUAAUUACAAGUUUGCCAUUGUAACUAAGUAUAAAUAGACUGAUUAGGGCCAUUGUAAUUCAGCUUUGAGUAUCAAUAUAAUUUUCUCUCCAUUCCUCUACACUUCUCUUCUCUUCUCUUAUCCUCCCUCCCAUUUCUCCCAUUCUUGUGUUUAUGAUAAGGAGAGCACCAGAAUUCACCAUGAAUUCUCUGCCUCCUUCUUGGGUUGAUUAGUAGGCUGCAUCAAGUUCAAAUAUAAAUGAUUUGGUAAUUUGAUCCCUUCAUAUAAUAAUGGUAUAGGGCUGCAGAAUGUUAUACAAGGCCAAAAACAUGCAGAAAGUGUUAGCAUCACAGUUUCAGCAAGUUUCUCUAGUUGGUUUUGAUGAUAAUAAAGUAUUAGUGAUCGAUCAUAUGGUUUUUUGCUUAGAUACUUAUAUUUCAUUACUUAAGAAUAGUCCUCCCACUAGAAAAAAAAAAGGCAAGCACAAUAAGAGACUUAGCCCCAAUAAAAGUUCUUUUACUAAGGCCUGUUUGGAUUUAGAACUAUUUGUCCAGCAGUAACUUGUGCGCUCGUGAGCUUUUCCUUCGUUGUUGCAAUCUAGAAGUUUCAUUUUAGAACACUGCAGGGCCCUCAUAAUCAAGAACUUUUCAGGGCAUGCAUUGCACCUGCUAGGUUGUCUGUCAUAUUUGAUGAGAAAUAACUUGGAUCAGUCUGCUAAGCUAGCUCAAACAACUCAAGAGGAACUUCUUAUAACAUGGAAUGAAACGUAGAAUGUUUUUCCAACAGAAAGUAAAAGUAAACAAUUUCAUAGCUAGAAGAGGUUGGAGUACUGAUCGCCAAGAUCAGGGAUGUGCCUUAAUAAUUGUAAACUUCAUGCAUGUAAAUCAUUUAGGAUAAGUGUUAUCAAAUCUAAAAGAGUUGCUAUAAAUACCAAAACUGUAGUUAAUCAAUAGAAGAGUUGCUAUAAAUACUUAAAACUGUAGUUAAUUUGAUAAGAAUAUAGGAAAUUAUAAGGUUAGUCCCUGUAAACAUGAAUGCAAUUCAAGAAAACUCUAAUUGGAUUGAAGUUAUUUUCCAGUAGAAGCUUGGAAACUACAGAAAUAGACAGGGAAAAAAAAAGAACUACAGUGGAAUUGUACCUCCAUAUGAUAUCCAGAAAAAGCACCAGGAAACUGCUCAGCCAUUAUCUCCAUGGCAGCAAGAAAUGCAACAACCUAGUAAAAAGUAGGACUUGCUUAUAUUUGGGAUUUCUCACCAAUGGACCAAAAACUAUGUCAUUAAGCACCUGUUUGGCUUGGCUUCUAGAGCAAAUUCUCUUAUUUCAAGCAGCUGAAGCGAACUAGGCUUCUGGGCAUUAAAGUAGAAGAUCUAAUUUGAAGAUUUUAGCUCCUGCAGCAGCGGAAAACUAUUGACAAUAUUCUAAUGAAAAACCUGUUAAUGCUUCUUUAAAUAACUCGACUCAAACACCACUUCUGUUGAAGCUCUGGCCAAGCCAUCUGUUGAAGCUCUGGCCAAGCCAAAUAAGCUCUAACUAAACUCAGGAAUAUGGGUUUUACCUGUUUGCCCAUCUGGGGAGAUAAUACAGCAUAAACAUUUGCAUCCUGCACUGUUUUGUACAACAUCUCCCUGUCUCCUCCCGUUGUGCCCAUUACAAACGGCACACCGAGUUUGCAGUAAAGUUCAGCAUUAUCUACAAGAAAAAAGUUACCAUUUUGAAAUAAAGAUAAUUGUCUAAAUGCAGAUUAACUGUACUAGAACAACAUCAAAAACAUCACGAAAAAGUAACUGCGUGCUACAUCAAUGUGAGACUACUGACAGUACUAAAUUGCCUAGUAUCAAAUGCUUACAAGUUCAAGAAUAAUGAUGAUAACCAAAUGCUAAGUUCCAAAAUUCUUUUACCUCUAUGAAGUUUGACACCGAAAAAUAAAUCAAGAUUGAGUUCCAUACUUUUCAAAUACCUUGAUACUAGUGUUCCGGUUAUUGGUAAAAGUGGACUGUGAAUGUAUAGAAAAAAUUAGGCACUAACACUGCAAUCAAUAGUAAAGGAAUUUUACGAAUGUAACCUACAAGUUCUUUUUUGAAUAUAGCACUUAAAAAAGUAAAUGAAAAUCCCAAUACUUCCCUCCAUGCAGAAGUCAACCAUACAAUCCUCCAUGCAGUUCGUUUCUGUUUAAGGAGAUAACUAGGAUGCAAAUGUGAAAAUAGUUCUUCUUGGAGUAUAUAUGGACUAUUCCAUACAUAAAAUGGUGAAUAUGCAACAAAGGAAUAAGUGCAGAAAAAAAAGGAAGAAGACAAGUAGCAAUAUCUUACCAUUCACAGCAUCUGGUACAGUAUAGUCAACAAGUACAAGAUUUGGGAAUUCAUCAAGGACAGAAGAAAGAAUAUAUUCUCUUUCUGAUGGGCCAUGUACAUGCAUAUCCAUACUGCCGACUUGUAGCGUUCUACUAGGUUUCUCUUUGCUGCUGAAUGUUACAGGAACUAACUGAAGGCCAGCAGAAACUGCUGCUUCAGCAACAGCUUUCCCCAUUUUUCCAGUACAGCCAUUCACCUAAUAAAGAUAAAUUUCACUUACACAAUAUCAGCAUUAAAACCUAGUUUUGAUAAAAAAAAGUACAGACAUUACCUGAUCUAUAACAUGUUUUUAAAUAUGAACUAUAGAAAUUGCAUCAAGUUUUGUCGGAACUUGAUGAUCUCUCCCAGAAAAGUUAAUUCAAUCAGAAAGAAAUAGUCUGUGGGGUCAAAGAGUAUUUGUGUUCAAAAACUUACAAACCCUAUUAAGUUCUAGCAUCAAGAUAGUUACAUCAAAUAUACCAUAACAAAAAAUAAUGAAAUCAAAAUUUUCAAUGUUCAAGUAUCCAUUUUAAAAUGCACUAUAGCUCAGGAAAUGUUUAUACAUUUUUAUAUCUAGCUUUCUUCAGCCAUGCCAAAAAGUUACAAACAAUACUAGGUAUUGCAUUACAAAUUUGAUGAGACCACAUUCAUGGAAAAUCAAAAUUAUGAUUUUACACCUAAACACAUCUUGAGCAAAUUUGAGGAAAAAAUUAUUCUGCAUCAUACUUCAAAUCAAGUUGCAAAUUUAUUUAUUAAAGAAAGCCAAAUAACAAGGUCAAAAAUAUCUAGGAACCAAAUGUGAUAGUCAAGGACAGGAAAUGAAAGCUUUCGCUCAAUAUAGAUGCUACAGCUUGGAGAUAUUCAUUUUAACUAUUUUAUACUUCAGGUACACUGAUAUCUCCUCAGUUUUUUGACCUAAUAAUUUAAGUAUCUAAUACAACAACAGCUCGUCAUUUCAGUUGAAUGUGACAGAUAGCUUAUUUCUAACUAAUGCAAUAUGGCCUCUAAUACAUCAAGAAAAAUUGAAAUUCUAACAUAUCUAUAAAUCAACUUUCAAAAGAUAUCCAUAAUGAUUUUCAAAACUUUUUAACCACAUUAUACUUGACAUCCAAACCACCUAAAGCCAACAAUAAAAACCAAUAAUAUAGUUUUACUCAAAAAGACCUGAUUAAAAAUAAAGUUGCAACCUAUCUGAUAUGGGAAUCAAUAAACUAAAUGAACAGAACUAACAUUUUAAGGCCUACUAAGAAUGUAUGAGGCAUCUCAAUGAUCUAAACACUUCUUGACGCUCAGUACAUAUUUGAUUCCCUUGCAUGAAGUUCAUCAUAAAGUAAUCGAAAGUUCUAACAAGUUCACAAGGUAAAUUUAUGAAGAAUCUGAGUGCAAUUAGGGAGCAUGGAACAUCUCAUGCCACUGGUUAAUCAUCUGCAAUAUAUGGUUCCAUAGGUAAAGAAGAACAUUAACUGAUUCAGUUCAGCAUAACAAGAUACAGCAUCUACUUGAAACUCACUGAAUAGUUGUUCACGUUACUUACCUAUAGUUCGACUCUUUCUGAGAGUAUCUUUAGAUCAGGAAUAUAUUUGAACAAGGGCCUGGGCCUAGGGAUGCAAACAGGGCGGAUCUGGGGGCGGGAGCCCCGCCCCGCCUCCUGCCCCGAAUCCGUGACGGGUUGAAAAUAGUUAUCCCAUGAUCCGACCCGCCUCAUAACCUGCCUUCCGCUGGUGCCCCGAAUCCGCCCCGCCAAAUAGUAUUUGUUUUACAAAUUUUAAUAUUAUUAACAUUUUGUAAAUAUAAAUCAACAAAAUUUUUAAUAUUAAUUGAUAAUAUUAUCAAGUUAUAUAUAAAUAACAAUAUCAACUAUAAAAAUUAAAAAUAUCAAUCACAAUUCACAACAAAAUUCAAAAAUUUUAAAUACAUACAUAUGGCAAAAAAGUCUACUAGAAUUACAAUUCCUCCAAAUUUAGUGCACUUGAAAAUUAACAAACUUAAGCAAAAUUAUCAGAUUUUCUUACAACUCCAUUCCAAUCCUUUCCCUAACUAUAUGUAAGAAGAAAAAAGCCAACCACAUUGAAGGAAAUCAUCUUCAUUCUCAGCUAUGAAGCCAGUCAAUAGCUACGAAGCCAGUCAAUAGACUCAAUACAUUUAGCUUCUCGGUAGUUUGUCUAAUAAAAUAAUGCCAGUACAUCCUAUUUUAACGGAGAGGAAUAAGUGAAAUAUAGUUGAAAAGGGACCGGCGGAGGCGAGGGAAAGGGCGGCGGCCCGCGGAGGUGAGGAAAGGGGCGGCGACCGGCGGAGCCGUGGAGGCGAGGGAAAGGGCGGCAGCGGCCGGCGGAGGCAAGGGAGGCGAGGGAAAGGGCGGCGGCAGCGGCGGCAGCCGGUCGUGUUGGGGGAGAAGGAGGAGUUGGGAGGGUGGUCGAUGGACGAGUUGUGAGUUGGGACUUGGGAGACAGGGAGAGUGAGAUUUUUUUUAGGGUUUGCAAAAUGAGAGCUUAUAUAGUUGGAUGUUUUGUAAAUAUAUCAUUUUUCAAGAGUAUUUUAAAGAAAUAUAGAAAUAGUUUUCGGGGCGGAUUCGGGGCGGAUAAAAAAUUUUCCCGUUUCCUGCCCCGAAUCCGCCUCGGAUCAUAAAAACUGCCCCAUUUCCUACCCCGAAUCCGUUUAUUUCCUCCCAUUUACUGCCCCAUUAGGGGCGGAUCGAGGCGGGAGCUCCACCAACCCGAAUCCAUUUGCAUCCCUAGCUGGCCAAAACAAACAGGCCGAAUCAGUAAACCAAAGCAAGUCUUUUUUUUUGGGCCCGGUUUAAUCACUUUUCUCUAAUAGUCAGCUUUAUCUCAGUUAAAAGAUAUUUCAAACUGGUAGAAUCUGUUAGCUUUUAGUUUGAACUUUCAAAAACCAAUUCAAAACAAUAAAUCGACAGAAAUAUUUGUCGAUAGAUAAAAUUGUUUAGCUGACAGAAUAGUUGUCUACAGAUAAAAUUGUUUAGGUUUCUACGUUAAAUCCAUCUCAGACUAAACCAAAUAAGGAAGUCAUUUAAAGAGCAAUGGCAUUAAAGUCCAACCACAUGAACAAGAAUGAAAGUGAGCAGCAUAGUUGAUGCCUAUAAAAGAUGGUCUUCACAUUAUUCUAGACCAUAAUGCUAUCAAAUACUCCUCAUAGCAUUGACUUAAUUUUCUUAUCAAAAAUAUUGCACAAUCUACAGAUGAAGUAAAGAUAAGUGUACAGCCACACAAGGAAAUUAAGGGAAAAAAAUUGGGAUAAUUGGAUUUUCUUAAAAAAAAAUCAAAAGUAUCACACAAAAGUUCCUUUGUGUCCCUCAAUACUUAUACAUGCUUAAACCUUUUUUAAAGUAAAAAACCCCUCAAAAGUAAUCAACUUAACACCUUUUUACACAUCUCAGAAUGCGUUUUCAACCAUGGGUUCUCUCAUCUACAUUUUGCCCCAAAAAUCAAAGCCCCUAAACCCUAAACCCUAACAUCAGGCCAGAAGUCUGGAAUCGCCAACACCGAUUCCUAAGCCAAGAGAACAAAUUUCAUCACAAUUACUACCAAAAAAAGACUCCUAUAGCACCCACGCGAAUCAAAAUAGGAAUUUGCAGAAUGCUAUGGAAAAAAUAAACAAACUACUAAGGAAUGUUAGACUUAAGUCAUAUGACCCAUUUCGGUGUUGCCCUAUUUGACCGACUAGCAACAUAUUGGAUGGGGUUAGUAUUGUUACCCGCUCCAUUAAGUUGAUUAUGAAAAAUUGUGGGAACGGUUAUGGGGAGUUGGAUCCACUACCUCACUAGUUGGUAGUUAUCCCCUUCCACUACUUGGUAGUUAUCCUCAUGAUGGGAAAGGAGGAUUAAUGACAUACAUACAAAGGAUGGUCUUUUUCUCUUUGAAGGUGUGAAAAAUACAAGCUUGUAAACCCAUCAUAAUUCCACCAUUGUAAGAGGAAUAGCCAUUGCAAUUACAUAAUUGCGUUCUGGUCAUUUGAAAGAGUACCAUAUAUAGGAGUUGAUCAAGAUACAAGAUCGAGAGGUACUCGUAGACAAGAUCAAGGUGUCUAGGACGAUCCUCAAUUAUAUUUUCACCAUGGCAUCAGGUAUAAUCCGCAUAUUUUCUAACAACAAUGGUAUCAGAGCCAGGUUUAUGUCUUGGUAUUUGAUUCGGUCACUUUCUUCUUUUAAUAUGUUUACUUUAAAAUUCUUCAAAAUGAAAGAAUUAGAAGAAGAAAGUGAAAUUGUUUUUCCUAUUUGAACUUUUAUAAGAUAUUAAUGGCUGCACAUAGUAGUUGAUGAGUUUUUUAAAUGAGACAACACUUUAAUUAUUAUUAUUAUUUUUUUGGCAUUUUAAUCAAUAAUGCUUUAGUCCAACUCUAGAAGAACAUAUAUUAUGUUCUAUCUUGGAUGCAUGUGUUUGGAUGUAAAUUAAUUAAAGGUCUCAUAUGUAUGAUAAAUUUUUACUGUUUCUUUUGGAAGAAAUAGUAAACGGCAGUGUUUUAUCUAUUUUGAUAAAACGGGUCUUAUCAAUAUCUCUAUUCAGGUUCGAAGUUCGAAACUUCUCAAAUGUGAGAUUUGUGUGAUGACUAUCUAAACCUAUCAUCACAUUAUGCUCCAACUGUUCUUGAACAUAAUAAAGACCUAUUUUUCGCAGCCAUUAAUAACUUGUAUAGUUCUAUUAUUUACAUUCCGUAUUUUCUAGAUAGAUUAUCAGUAUCUUGCAUACUGUGUGUAAUCUUUUGAUAUAUGUUGUUUUGAUAUAAUGCUUAAAUAUUAUAUCCACCCUAUAAGACCUAUUAAGAUCAAUCAAGCCUAUAUUGUAUGAUGCCUUGUGCGCAAUGUGUGUAAAAUUUUGGCUCAAAUGCAAUUGUUCAUUGUAACUUUAUUUUUGCUGUAAUUUAAAGGGUUGUAAUUAUUAUGAGCCAUUUUGUUGUAAAUUAUACAUUGCCAUUGUGAUGUAAUAUUGACUGUGUGAUGUAAAAGGCUUGAUUGACUAAAAAUAGAUCUAAAUUGUGUAGGGGUGUGAUAUCAUGAUGUCAUUAUAAAGGUAUAAUAAUUUCAAAUUGGAAUAAUUAGUGUAGUCACCAAAGUGACCCUAAUUAUGAAAAUUUGAAAUUUUGGCUACGUUUAAGUUUAGUGACAUCAAAAUUGUGCUUAAAAUAUGGAAUAAUAGUGUACCGCCCAAAGGAGGGCUAUUAUUAUCAAAUUUAAGCAGAAAUAGAUAGUAAGAUUAUUUAUUAAUGCAUGAAGUGUUCUAUACCUAAAGGUAUAACAUGGACUUGUUAUUAAUAAGUAUGACUUACUAGUCUAUACUGAGACUAUUUUUAUAAUUAUGAGCAGAACUUCUAGAGUGUUGCAAUCUCGCCCAAAGGAGAGGCUGCAAUGACUCCUAAGCAUGCUCAUAAAAUAAAUCAUAAAGAUUAAUGAUUUAUUUUCUGUUAUGGUUUAUGAUCAUAAUGUGGGUAUGUUUAUUUAUUUGCAGUUAUUCCUACAUCUGCUGUGAUUGAUAAUGGCAAUCGCAUUCCUUACUUAAAUGGAUCAAAUUUUUCUGAAUGGAAAAAAAGAAUUAUGUUUACAUUAGGGUGCAUGGAUUUAGACUUGGUGUUUCGAGUAGAUGAACCAUCUGCACUUAAUGCUAAAAGUACUGACGCUGAAAAGGCCUUUCAUGAGAAAUAGGAGAAAUCGAAUAGGCUUAAGCCUUCUGCUUAUGCAGGCUCAUGUUGGCAAGAAUAUUCGUGGCUCUAUUCCUAUUUGCAUAACAACUAAAAAUUUUAUGAAGGCCAUAGAGGAUCAGUUUGUCAGUUCUGACAAAGCUAAAGCAAGCACCCUAAUGUCUAAGAUGGCUUCAAUGAAAUACUCGAGUUCAGGGAGCAUUCGUGAGCACAUUAUGGAGAUGAAAGAUAUUGCUUUUCAGUUGAACAAGAUGGAGUUUACUAUUUCUGAAACUUUUCUUGUCCACUUUAUAUUAAAUUCCCUACCAGCUGAGUACGGUCCCUUUAAAAUCUCCUACAACACACAGAAGGAGAAGUGGUCUAUUAAUGAUCUACUGUCAAUAUGUGUUCAAGAGGAAGAGAGAAUUAAAGGAGAAAGAGUGCAAAGUGCACAUUUGGUCUCUAACCAUACUUCCAAAGUUGGAAAAGAUAAGGGAGGUCCUUUUAUGAAGAAGCAAAAGACUAAUCCAUCAGCUGGGACAUUUAACUCUGGUGGUAAAUUUAAAGUCAAAUGCUUUUUCUGCCGUAAGAAGGGCCACACAAAGAAGGAAUGUAUUAAGUAUAAAACGUGGCUGGAGAAGAAAGGUAACUCCUCUUUUGUCUAUUAUGAGUGUAAUUUAGUUAAUGUUCCUCUUUAUAGUUGGUGGAUUGAUUCAGGUGCUACUGUGCACAUUGCCAAUAACGUGCAGAGAUUUCUAAACCAGAGGGAACCAACUGAAUAUGAACGUAACAUCUUUUUGGGCAACAAGAUGGCGUCAUGUGUGAGGGCAGUUGGUACCUGUAGGCUGGUUCUAGACACGGGUUACGUGCUGGAUUCGGACGACACCUUUUAUGUACCUUCUUAUAGUAGAAAUCUUAUUUCAAUUUCUAGAUUAGACAGAGUUGGCUACUCUUUUAUCUUUAAAAAUUUUAGUUUAUCUAUCUACAAGAACUCUAGUAUAGUAGAUUCCGAUUACCUAACCGAUGGCUUGUAUCAACUUAAUCUUAAAUAUCAGUUUAACGAAUCUUUGGUCGUCCAGCAUGCAAUUGGCAAGAAGCGAAGUUUAUUAAAUGAACAAUCUUCCAUACUAUGGCAUAAGAGACUUGGGCAUAUCUCUAAGGAGAGAAUUCAAAGGCUAGUAAAGGAAAGGGUGUUAGCGCCCUUAGACUUUACUGACUUUGAUACAUGUAUUGAUUGUAUAAAGGCAAAGCAAACCAAUGUCUCCAAAAAGGGUGCCAAAAGAAGCAAUGCUAUUCUUGAAAUUGUGCACACGGAUAUUUGUGGACCAUUCACCCCUUGUAUUACGGGUGAAAAGUACUUUGUCACCUUUAUAGAUGACUAUUCACGUUACAUGUAUCUUUACCUAUUGUCUGAUAAGGCAGAAGUACUUCAAGCCUUUAAAGAUUAUAAGACGGAGGUAGAGAAACAGUUAGGUAAAGUGAUAAAGGUAGUUAGAUCAGAUAGAGGUGGCGAGUACUAUGGUCGAUUCACAGAAAUAGGACAAAGAGAAGGACCAUUAGCACGAUAUCUUAGAGAUGAAGGUAUUGUACCACAAUACACAAUGCCUGGUACACCUAGUCAAAAUGGUGUAGCAGAAAGAUGAAAUCACACACUUAAAGAGAUGGUCCGUGCUAUGCUUUGUCAUUCUACCCUUCCUUUAAUAUUGUGAAGCUUUAAAGACAACAGCACACGUGCUAAAUAAAGCUCCUACUAAGGCUGUUCAGAAAACUCCAUAUGAGCUCUGGACAGGUAGGAAACCAUCAUUAUACUAUAUGCACAUUUGGGGUUGUCCUGCUGAAGCUAAGAUUUAUAACCCACAUGAAAAGGCAUUUGAUCCUAGGACAACUAGUGGAUAUUUUAUUGGCUAUCCAGUGAGAUCAAAGGGUUAUAGAUUUUAUUGCCCAGGACAUACACCUAAGAUUAUAGAAACAGGAAAAGCUAGAUUUCUUGAAAAUAGCAACUUCAAUGGGAGUGACAUACCUCGUGAAGUUAGUUUUGAGGAGUCACAAGGUUCAUCAGGUGAUAUGGAAACUCCAAUACACAUUCCUGUGAGUGUGAUUCAAGUGGAAGAGCUAAUCGCUUUAAAACCAAUUCUUGACCCAGUUGUUGCAGUAGAGCCACAAUCAAUUCAACCGCCGCAAGAUGCGGAUCAAGGUACAAGAUUGUGGAGAUCAACAAGAAUAAGAAAAUCCGCUAUCCCUUCAAAUUAUGAGGUGUAUCUUCAAGAGCCGAAUAAAGAUUUGGAGGACAUAGAUGAUCCUAUUUCCUUUUCACAGGCCAUGGAGAGUGAAUACUCACAUAAGUGGUAUGAUGCCAUGAAGGAAGAGUUAGACUCUAUGGAUAAAAACCAUGUUUGGAAUCUUGUAGAUCCACAUGAAGGAAUUAAAUCUAUUGGAUGCAAAUGGAUAUACAAACCAAGAGGAACUGUAAAGGUGAGAUCGAAAGGUAUAAGGCCGGACUUGUAGCUCAAGGUUUCACUCAAAGAGAGGGCAUAGAUUAUAAUGAGACGUUUUCUCCGGUUUCUUCAAAGGACUCAUUCAGAAUAGUUAUGGCCCUUGUAGCUCAUUAUGAUCUGGAGCUACAUCAAAUGGAUGUGAAAACGGCUUUUUUGAAUGGUGAUCUAGAAGAAGAGGUAUAUAUGAAACAACCUCAGGGUUUCAUUGCAAAUGAUAAAAGUCAUAUGGUAUGCAAAUUGAAAAAGUCAAUAUAUGGACUUAAACAAUCCUCCCGUCAAUGGUUUUUUAAAUUCAAUAGGGUUAUCCUGUCAUACGGUUUUACACCAAAUACCGUUGAUAGGUGCAUGUACCUAAAAGUUAGUGGGAGUAAGUUCAUAAUAUUGGCAUUAUAUAUCGAUGAUAUAUUGCUUGCCAGCAAUGACUUAGGGAUAUUGCAUGAAACAAAGAGAUUUCUUUCCACGAGUUUUGAGAUGAAGGAUAUGGGUGAAGCCGCUUACGUUUUCGGUAUUGAGAUUCAUCGAGAUAGACAUAAAGAUAUUCUUGGUUUAUCUCAGAAGGCUUAUAUCUCUAAAGUCCUUGAAAGAUUUGGAAUGCAAAAUUGCUCUUCUGGACCUGCACCUAUUGUGAAGGGAGAUAAACUUAGCUCCAAGCAGUGCCCAAAGAAUGAAAUCAAAAGAAAGCAGAUAAGGAACAUACCGUAUGCUUCGGCAGUUGGGAGCCUGCAGUAUGCUCACACGUGUACUCGUCCAAACAUUUCUUAUGCUGUUGGGUUACUUGGUCGUUUUCAAAGCAACCCCGGUAUAGAACAUUGGAAGGCUGCCAAAAAGGUCACGCGUUAUCUUCAAGGAACGCGAGAUUACAUCCUCACAUAUCAGAGAUCUGACCAUCUCGAGGUUGUAGGUUACUCAGAUGUAGAUUUUGCAGGGUGCCAAGAUAGUAGGAAAUCGACAACUGGUCUUAUCUUCCUACUUGCAGGGGGUGCCAUUACAUGGAGAAGUAUUAAACAAAAGACAACUGCUUCAUCCACAAUGGAAGCCGAGCUUAUAGCCUGCCUCGAGGCUUCAUCACAGGCUAUUUUGCUAAAGAACUUUAUUACCGGCCUUAAAAUCAUGGACUCUAUAGAAAAGCCACUACAGAUAUACUGUGAUAAUGAAGCUGCUAUUUCUUUUGCCAACAGCAACAAAAGCUCUAGUUCAUGCCGGUAUCUGGAUAUAAAGCUCUAUGUGAUUAAUGACCGAGUUGAUAAUCAUAUAAUAUCUGUAGAUCAUGUUGGAACAUAGUAUAUGCUUGCAGAUCCAUUUACCAAAGGGCUAGCACCAGGGUUGUACGCAGUACAUGUAAAGAAUAUGGGUCUCAACGGUUCAUUUUCUGUGUAACUGAUUUACAUUAUGAUAUUUAUGUGAUCACAUUCAGUUUUUAUGAUUAUCUAUUUUAACAUUUUGGACCAUUGAAUAGGUUUGAGAUUAUUCUAUUCAUAAAGUUUUCCACAAUAAAAUACUACGGACAAGAUGUUGAUAGUAUUGUGGUGCAUGGAAGGUCGUACUCACUUUUUGGGUAUUUGCCGCUAUGACUCAUACUAUUAAAACUUGGGGCAAAGUAUAAAGUUUUUAUAACUGUUGGAGUGAAUAUUUUAAAGUGGUACCACAUUUGGAUUUAUGAACUUUCUAAUCCCAUCCAUAGUUUAUUAAAAUAUAAAUAUAUAUGUAUAUUGUUUUACUUAUAAGUUGUGGUCAUGUCAAAUAGGCCAAGUGGGAGAAUGUUAGACUUAAGUCAUAUAACCGACUUCGGUGUGGCCCUAUUUGACCGACCCGCAACAUAUUGGAUGGGGUUAGUAUUGUUACCCGCUCCAUUAAGUUGAUUAAGAAAAAUGGUGGGAACGGUUAUGGGGAGUUGGAUCCACUACCUCACUAGUUGGUAGUUAUCCCCUUCGACUACUUGGUAGUUAUCCUCAUGAUGGGAAAGGAGGAUUAAUGACAUACAUACAAGGGAUGGUCUUUUUCUCUUUGAAGGUGUGAAAAAUACAAGCUUGUUUUAAAUUUGUGAAAUUUAGCCCUUUUUAUUGAUCUCGACAUUUAAUCACAGUGUAUGUGACAUUUCAAUCAUGGGUUCUCCCAUCCACAUUUUGGCCCCUUAAACCCAAAACCCUAAACUCACAUCAGAAACCCCCAUUACCCAACACCGACCCAAAAAUCAAACUUUACCAACUAAUCAUAAAAAAAAAGGCUCCCAUUGCAUCCAUCAUGAAUCGCGCCGGGAAAUUAGGGAUUGCUAAAUAUAAACAUUUAUAUAAAAAAGAAAAGACAAAAUAGGUGAGGCUUAGCAGGUUCGCACCAAAAUGGGGAAGGAGAGGGUGGGUGGCGCCCCUGUCGCCACCGAAGCCUUGUCUAGGGUUUCGUCGGCAACGGCGUUGGUAACGGAGAUGGGGCGCCUCGCCGCCCUUCGCGCCACGAGUAAACGGCUCCGCCGAGGAAGAACGGCGGCGGCGGCGGCGGCGGCGGCGGAGUGGGGGAGUGACGUAAGCAUGUCGUCGCUGCUACGCCUCGAGAGAGAGAGAGAGAGAGAGAGAGAGAGAGAGAGAGGAGGUGGAAACUUCUCGCGAGUCGGAGACGAAGCCUCGCCUGCUCAACGAGACAGGGGAGAAGGCGCGGGUGCGGGCGCCGCGGGCGCGGGCGCGGGCGCGCGCGAGGCGCGAGCGGGCGCGGGCGCGGGCGCGGGCGCGGAUCGGGUAGCUCGGGUGGCUUUUUUUUUUCUUUUCCCUCUCUCUCUCUCCAUUAAUUUCGACUAGGGAUUUCAAUGGAUUUCAACGAGCGUGUAUACUGAAAUAUUAUCUGAACCCAAAUCGAACCAAGCGGAUUUAUCCAAGCUAAACAAUAUGAUUCGGUUAUGAGUAUAAAAAAUAAAAUCCGACGGAUAUAGUUACGGAUAUGAAUUUUAUAUUUACUCGACCCGAAUUCAAACCCAAAUCCAAACCCGAUCCGAACCUGAACCCGAACCCGAACCUAAAUCCGAAUAAAAUAUAUAAUAUUUUGAUAUCUAGAGAUGGUAUUGGAUAUUUAAAGAAUGUAUUGUUGUCUUCAACUAUUUAAAUUUGUGCUUUUCUUAUUCAGAUAUUGAUAUUGUUGGCAUGAAUGUUUUAAUGGUGUAUUUGAUUGUGUUUUAAAAAUUUUAGUUUGAAAUUUUUUAAAAAAAAUUUUCAAUUUUACUAUAAUAUAUUUUAAAAUAUGCUAAAAAGAAAUCAUUAUUUCGGGUUUGGGUUCAGGUUCAGGUUUCGAAUUUUUGGUCAGGUUCGAAUAUAGGUAUGAAUUUUUAAAACCCACCGAGUUUGGAUCUGGGUUCGGAUUUUAAUUUGGUUUUCCGGUUCGAAGUCGGGUUUUUGAAAAUCCGACCCAAACCUAACCUAUUGACAUCCCUAAUUUCAACAGUGUGCACUNCUAAAAUUUAAAUUAUAUAAUAGAUAAUUUUUUACACAUAACUUUUUAUAUAGCUAAAAUUACAUAUAUUAAAUAUAAAUUUUAAUAUCAUAAUAUUUAUCACUUAAAAAUAAGUUGUACAAUAAAAAAUAAAAGAGAGAUUAAUAGAGUUCAAUUUAAUUACUUAUUUUAAUAAAUUUAUAAUUACGAGAAUUCUAUAAAAUAUCUUAACUGAAUGUGUAAAAAUAAACGGCGUAUUCAAAAUUUGAAGUCAAAAUAUCGUUGAUCAACUCAAAUCAAAUAAAGUAAAAGAUUAAAUAAUAAAAUAAAAAUUUUGAAAAAUAAAAUAAUCGAUUCAAAAUGGUCCAUUUGGUUUUAAUAUUAAACUUCAAUACUAUAUUUAUAGUUUUAUAAGUAAUCAAUUUUAUAUUCAGAAUCCACUAGAAUAUUCAAAUCUGAUUAGCCAUUAAUCACGUUCAAAAUAUUAUGAAUUGGUCGUCUUUUAAUUUUAACAAUUAUACAUCCUAAACUUUAUGAGAUAGUUUAACAGGUUAUUUUUCUCGAGUAAAAUUACUAAUUGAGCAAAACCAGUGGAUGCUUAAUGCUAUCUUCGUAUAGAAUAAAAAUCAAACAUAAAAAAAAGUAAAAUACACUUCUAGUCCUCAAACUAUGAGACAACGGAUUUUAGUCUUCGCAUUUUAAUGGAUCGUAAUUUCCAACUCAAAAAUAUGAGACAAAAGAUUCAUUCCAUUUUACUUGAUAGACUGAGCCUUCCCCGACAAAGAAAUAAUAUAUAUAUAUAGAGAGAGAGUUGAGCUGGAAUACUAUUGGUAGCAAACGGGUUCCGUUGCCACCCAUUUGAUUUCAAUGAUGGAGCCUCCAAAUCGACGAUCGGUACCGUUGAAAAUGAUCUAUACCAUUUGAAGUAUUUAGAAAUCAAAUUUCAUGCUUUUUCGAUAUUGUUCUCUUGUUCAUCAAGUGGGCGUAAAAAUGAACGGGUGAAAAUGAAUAUCCUCUAAAAAGUGAUGAUAGAAAAUUUGUAAUCAAGAUCGAGAGUACAGAUCUUGUUUUCUAAAUAGUUUAAAGAUUUUUCUAACAAAAAUUCAAUUGAUUUGGAUAGCUUUAUACCGUUAAACGAGAAAAUACCUCAUAUCGACCAUUAAAAUUAUAAAUUUUGAAACCCUUUGAUUAUUAGGUCAAUGAUGUCAAAAAGAUAAGAAAUUUGAUUUCUAGAUACUUCAAGUGAUAUAGAUCAUAUUUAAUGGUGCCGAUCGUCGAUUUGAAGGCUCCAUUAUCGAAAACAAAUGGGUGGUGUUUGCUAUUGGUAGCAUUCCAGCUCAACUCUCUCUCUCUCUCUCUCUCUCUCUCUCUCUCUCUCUCUCUCUAUAUAUAUAUAUAUAUAUAUAUAUAUAUAUGUGUGUGUGUGUGUGUGUGUAGAGCUACUAUGCUAUCGGAAGCAUAAAGUAGUUGGUGCUUCCAAUUUUUUAGCCCUUGGAUUAAAAAUUCUAUGGUUAGGAUGAUAGCGGUCCCCUUAAGGUUGAGUGGUCUCCCUAUGGUCGAGUAGUCCCCAUUGAUUAAUAAUAUUAAUCUAAGGAUGCGUUUGGUUCGCGUUAUUUUUAAGAUUCCUAAUAAUCCAAUAGGAAUAAAAAAAUAUGACAGUGUUUGGCUAAACGCACUAAGUAAUCUAGUUGGUAAUACUGGAUUUACUUGGGAAUGAGAUGCAUCCCAAAGUACUAAUCUCAUUCCUUUGAGAGAGGGUGGGUAUCCUUAUAUUAAUGGAUUGGAGUAAUUAUAAUAUGUCUAAUCUCUUUCUUUCUCCCUACUCGCCGGAUAGUUGGCAUUAUUAUUUUCUUUACACUCUAACCUCAUAUCUCUCUCUAAACUUAUCUUUUUCUCUCUCUAAACUUCAACUCUUUUUCUCUCUUUAAAUUAAGCUAUUUCUCCCCCUCUUUUUUUAAAAUCUCAACCAUUUUAUUCUCUCUAACCUCGACUCUAUUUCUCUUCCUAUUUCUUUAAUUAUGAUCUCUCUUUCUAACCUAUAUUCUCUCUCUUUUUUUCUAAAAAGAUGUUGAAAUUUUUUAUAAUAUUAUUUAAAAUUAAAUUAAUUAAUUAAUUAAUUAAUUGUAUAUUUUUUGUAAUUUUAAAUAACAUGACUAAAUAAUAUGACCAUAUGAACCAAACACCGAAAUACUACAUUCUUAGUAAUAGGAUGAAUAUGAAUAAGAUUCUCGGAUAUCUUUCUACUCCUAAUAAUCUUUCAUUGNNNNNNNNNNNNNNNNNNNNNNNNNNNNNNNNNNNNNNNNNNNNNNNNNNNNNNNNNNNNNNNNNNNNNNNNNNNNNNNNNNNNNNNNNNNNNNNNNNNNNNNNNNNNNNNNNNNNNNNNNNNNNNNNNNNNNNNNNNNNNNNNNNNNNNNNNNNNNNNNNNNNNNNNNNNNNNNNNNNNNNNNNNNNNNNNNNNNNNNNNNNNNNNNNNNNNNNNNNNNNNNNNNNNNNNNNNNNNNNNNNNNNNNNNNNNNNNNNNNNNNNNNNNNNNNNNNNNNNNNNNNNNNNNNNNNNNNNNNNNNNNNNNNNNNNNNNNNNNNNNNNNNNNNNNNNNNNNNNNNNNNNNNNNNNNNNNNNNNNNNNNNNNNNNNNNNNNNNNNNNNNNNNNNNNNNNNNNNNNNNNNNNNNNNNNNNNNNNNNNNNNNNNNNNNNNNNNNNNNNNNNNNNNNNNNNNNNNNNNNNNNNNNNNNNNNNNNNNNNNNNNNNNNNNNNNNNNNNNNNNNNNNNNNNNNNNNNNNNNNNNNNNNNNNNNNNNNNNNNNNNNNNNNNNNNNNNNNNNNNNNNNNNNNNNNNNNNNNNNNNNNNNNNNNNNNNNNNNNNNNNNNNNNNNNNNNNNNNNNNNNNNNNNNNNNNNNNNNNNNNNNNNNNNNNNNNNNNNNNNNNNNNNNNNNNNNNNNNNNNNNNNNNNNNNNNNNNNNNNNNNNNNNNNNNNNNNNNNNNNNNNNNNNNNNNNNNNNNNNNNNNNNNNNNNNNNNNNNNNNNNNNNNNNNNNNNNNNNNNNNNNNNNNNNNNNNNNNNNNNNNNNNNNNNNNNNNNNNNNNNNNNNNNNNNNNNNNNNNNNNNNNNNNNNNNNNNNNNNNNNNNNNNNNNNNNNNNNNNNNNNNNNNNNNNNNNNNNNNNNNNNNNNNNNNNNNNNNNNNNNNNNNNNNNNNNNNNNNNNNNNNNNNNNNNNNNNNNNNNNNNNNNNNNNNNNNNNNNNNNNNNNNNNNNNNNNNNNNNNNNNNNNNNNNNNNNNNNNNNNNNNNNNNNNNNNNNNNNNNNNNNNNNNNNNNNNNNNNNNNNNNNNNNNNNNNNNNNNNNNNNNNNNNNNNNNNNNNNNNNNNNNNNNNNNNNNNNNNNNNNNNNNNNNNNNNNNNNNNNNNNNNNNNNNNNNNNNUAUAUAUAUAUAUAUAUAUAUAAAUAUAAAAUUUUAUGUUUUUAAAAUUAAUAGUUAACGUCAACGAUUCAUCCGCCCCUGUAGUGGAAUGGGGAAGGGUGGAGUUAGGUAUAUUCGAAGUGACGAAAAGCUAGUUAGAGCAAAUCACAAUUAAAAUUCGUGAGUGUCUGUAUAUUUUAGAUAAAUUGACUGCAUCUUCUAACAACUCGAUCUGACACAGGGAGGGCGGCGGGGGCGGCAUGUGGGCUGCAAAGAGUGAAACUCUCAUAACCGGUCAUGUUAGAAACAAAUCUCCUCUUUAAGAGAAUACUAGUGUAGUGACCCGCGCGAUGCGGCAGGUAAAAAUGUUUUAAUAAAUACAUAUAAACGUAAAGAAGAAAUAAAAAAAUAUAACCAUAUUGAUUUAACAAUAUAAAAAAUAUAUUAGAGACUUUUAUAAUUAAAUUACAACUUACCAAAACACAAUAAAAGAAAUCGAAAAAAAGAAAGAACUAUGGAAGAAGAAAAAUUGUUACAUAAAUAUCAUGAAAAAACAUUUGGAAUAUGCGACAAAAGGAUAACAAAUAUUAAAUGACACACUGAAGAACCUCAAAUUCACAUUUAGCUAAUCAAAUAAAGAGAUUCAUUUGUCCUAUUCUCUUUUUUGGCCCUAAUCAUAUUCCUCUUAAAAACCAAUUAUGAAGUGACCUACACAUUAAAGUGGAUAGAUACUAAUAAAGUAAAAUUUUAAAAAUAAUAUAUUGUCAGUAAAGAUAAAAAUAAAAUAUAUUCAUUUUUAUUAAUUAAAUAAUCUUAAAUAUACAGAUCAAGCCGAGAAUAACUAAAAAAAUAUAAUACGCCUAAAGUAACAAAAAGAAUUAUAAGAAAACUCUAAAUUAAGCAAAAUUUGAAAUUUAUAUAGUACUUAUAUAUUAUUCACUUUCCAAUUGCUCUUCAUUUAUGGGAUACAAAAUUUGGAGCUAUCAUAUGUUGACUUGAAGUCAAUGCUAGAGCCAAAAAAAUAAGGGAAAAAUACUAUAAAAUGAAAUUUAAAAGGAUAAUAAAUAGAGACCAAAUAGGGCCGACUCAAUGUACAAAACCCGACACAGAUUAUUUGAUUUGACGUAAAUGGAGAAUAAUAUGUGGUUAGUCAAGGAUCACAAUACAGUCUCAGACGACAGUUAAAGUAAUAGAAUAAAGAUUAAGACUUCCUACCUGCUGGGGAUUGAGCAUAUAGUAGGAAAAAAAAAUUAUCUAUUUUUAUUGGUGCUCACUGAGAAAUUUUGAUCAAUUUUAAUAUUUGAUGGGCUAGCAUUUGAAUCCUUCAAUCAACUUGUACAGAAGUACUUGAAAAUAUAGUCAAAAUAUACAGGUGGUACUACCACAUCGCCAUCUCAAUUCCUAGAGAAGAUGCAACAGGACUACUUGAUAACACCAAUACUUUUAAGUUCCUAGAAUAUAGUUCGUAAAUUGGUUAUAAAGAUAAUAAAAUAACUUACAAAUUACAAAGAAAAUUAUGGGAUUAUAAAGAUUUUGCACUUAUCUUGCAUCUCCUCUUGUGUAUAGAAAAUCUAGAUGAAUACUAAUGAAAAGUAGUGAAAAUUAUGUAUAGAAGAAAAAAGUAGAAGACAUUCAUAUCACCAAGAAUCGCAACCACAUCAUUUAUUUUUUUUUUCUGCCUCACUAAACUCUUUGAGGCAUUAUAUUAAAUAAUUUUGAAGACACCGAACUUAACAAUUAAACUAUCAAAGAAUGAAAAAUAAAGAAAUUUAAGCAUCAGAAAGCUGCUGAGAUAAUUUGGAAGAGUGAGGAGGCAAUACCUUUCUAAAAUAAUCAAUCCUUUCAAGACCUUUCAGGCACUUUAUUAUUAUCAAUCUAAUUGGUCUCAUGCCUAUGCCUAUUUGAAUUUUCACUCUAAUUUUAAAUUUGGUUUACGAAAAACCAAUAAUGCUCAAAUUGGUCCAUCUAGUAAGCAUGAAAUACAACUAGUCAAAAACAACCAAAAAGCAAAUAAUAGACCUUCUAAGACAUUAAAAAUUACAAAAAUUUAUCAUACAAAUGGUUGCAUUCGCAACAACCAGAUUUUGCCUAGUUGUACCCUCGUCACUGCCGUUGUAGUUGCCGCUACAGGUGACAAAAGAGGAAAAAUUGAGUAGAGAUGUCUGGAUUUACCAACUGAAAUAAUAAUCGUACAUUAAUUUAAAAGCAAACAAUGCUUAAAAAAAAAAAAAAAUACAUGAAUUGACAAAGAAAACUGGUAACUGAGGAUAAAAAUUGGCAAAAUGGAUUAUUUAUUGUGAUUGAAAAAAAUAGGGAAAGUAAGAGAGAGGUGUGUGACUUACAAUGUCGAUCUCAUGUGGAAAAACCCAGUGGGAGAAGGAAAUGAGCUUCAGAUAUGAUGGCGAGGGCUCUAGCAAGCAGCGCACAGCAGUAUUGUGAUCAUCAGCCAUGGGGUCAUGGCGGCACUCCUUCCCCUCAUUCCCUGCAAUCAGUAGAAUUUUCCUACUGAUGGCAGCUCACCGAUAGGAUUGGAGGCAUUAUGACGGCGAUUGGUGAAGAGGACAAAGGAGUUGUAUAAAUAGAUAGAUUAGUUACACAAAUUAAAGCAUACAAUAGGAAAAUAAAUAGGAAAAGAAGCAAUAUAAUACAAUCAGUAGUGUUGUUGACCUGCCCAUGUAUUUCUAAAUGGAUCCAGUUCCAUUUAUCAAAUUUCUUCCGGUCCUUGCGUCUUCACCUAGAAAUUAAAAAUUUGUGCACUCUUUUUAGGCCAAUAUGAACUCAAUCUCUUAGCAAAAUCAUCCACUACUUUGUAUUUAUCAACAUAAAAGAAUAAAAGUCUAGCUGAAGUAGAGAUAAAAAAAAAUGGUUAAAAAUAACAAAGACAUUAAUUAACAAUGCUUGAAGCAAGCAAAAAGAAAAAAAAAAAAAUGAAUUUUAGAAAGUUUGAUUUUACUACUUAAUAUUUUGUUCCUUUUGAUUUCUAUAAACUCCUCAAAAGCCUUUGUAUUAGAUUGAUUAGAGAUUUUUUUAUAAAACAACAUGACUCUUAAUAAGGAGACACUUGAAUUAAACAUAUAAAAAUAUGCAAUAAAAUUAACAUUAUUUAGGUAUAAAUUUGAACAAAAAAGGAUUUAAAAAAAUAUAAUUUAUAGGAGAAAUGGGGCGUGAUUCCUUAUGGUGGCCUCGGCGCCUAUUGGAAUGCGAAGAAUGGCGGCGGAGGCAGUGGUGCGCCGAGAGGCGCUGCCGAGAGGCUACCUGCUUGCCCUUCAUAUUACAUUUCUUCGCCCGACCUUUCUUUAUUUUUGCGGCCAAUUCUUUGAGCCUCUUCGCCUUGAACAGUCAAAUCCGAACACUAAUAAGAAUCUACCCAUCAAAGCACACAUCAUCUCUCAUCGAGAUGACAGCGAAAGUAAGGGGCGGGGUUCAAAGAAGGCAGAUAUAGGCGAGGAGGAGCUUCUCUGUGGUCUUAUGGAUCUUGGCGUGGGUAGCGUCGCGGUGGUGGCAGUGGGAGGCUAUGGUGUGGCGCGUAAGGGGCGGGGUGGCACUGUCGAAGACGAAGAUUGGCUUAGUGUGGAGGAAGAGGAGCUUGUAGAUGCCCUAUAUUCCCUUUAAACUUUAAGAUACAAUUAGUAAAAUCCAUAACUAUGCAUGUAUUCAAUUUUUAAAAUCAAAUUCUAUGAAGAAAAAAAAGAGUAAAUAAGAAAAAGAAGCAAUCUUCUAUAAUGCCUCUCCAUCUUCUUUGACCAGUUAUUCUUAAAGUUUAAGUAUGAAAUUUUAGCGAUUGACCUUAAAUUUGAAAGAAAGGCUUAUAUUCCCAUCUGCUUCUUCGGUUUUUUUUUUUUUUUUUUUGAUACUAAUUCUUCUUUUUAGAAAGAAGAAGAAGAAGAAGAAAGUAUAAGAAGAAGGAUACUAUACUGCUACUGCUGCUUGCCUGCUUUUUAUAUAUUCAAAUCCUAAACUCAAACUUGGAUUAAAAAAAUAAAAUAAACAAAAAAAAGGAUUAGAGUACGUAAGAAGAAGAAGCCCUUCAUGAACUGCGCCAUCCAUGUGCUCGCAUCUGCUAGGCCCUAACAAUCCAAUCGGUACACGCAUGGGCACGGCUACCGCGAUUGAAUCUGCAGUAGCGGAAGCUGUGGCGGUAGCCUGGCCCUAACAACCCGAUCAGCACACGCACGGGCAUAGCUACCGUGAUUGAAUCUGCAGUAGCGGAAGCUGUGGCGGUAGCUCUCUUGAGCCACCGCCGCUGCUGUAGCUACAGUCGCGAGUGCGAAUGGAGCGGCUUGCGAUUGCCAUUGGAAUUGUUGCGAUUAGAAUUGAUCAGAUCGGGGGCAGGAUCGGGAUCGUCGGGGAGGGAGGUGGAGCGGUCGAAGGAGGGGCUCCGGAUGUUGCAGGCGAUCUCGAAAAAGACCUUCUAAUGGGGGGAGCAAAAGGCGAAGGAGUCGUUGGCAAAGCGAAAGCGGGGGGAUGCAGGUGCUGCUUAGCUGCGGUGAGAGGGAGAGAAAUACCCGCUGCCGUUCGGUAGAGGGGGAAGAGGAAGCGUCCGUUGCCGUUCGGUAGAGGGGGGAGACGAAGCGUCCGCUGCCAUUCAGUAGAGCGGGGAGACGAAGCGUUAAAUUAAUAUUUAGUUUUGAAAAUUUACAUAUAAAUAAAAAAAAUAAAAAAUACUCCAAAUUAAGGAGAAUAUGCCAUGUCAGCACCCCAAAUUAAGGCGAAUAUGCCAUGUCAGCUAAUAACAUGGGAAUUAAUAUAGAGUUUAUAGAAGAUAUAUAUAUAUAUAUAGAGCUAGGCUCGUAUGCUUUCGAAAGUACGGGAGCCUCCGUACUUGUAAGUUGUUUUCAAUAAUAGGACAUCCGAUUCGGCGAUCAGUUUCAUUAGACAUGAUCUACGCUAUUGGAAAUACUUAGAAACCAAAUUUCAUAAUUUUUUGACUUCGUUUGUCUAGUAAACGAGUAGCCUCAAAAUGAACGGCUGAAAAUAAAAAUCUCAUAAAAAAUAGUGAUAAAAGACUCAAAUUUUAAAUCGGAAGUAUUGGUCUUGCUAUUGAUGUUAAGUAGAAUUUUCUAUUAAAUUUUCAUCUAAUUUGGAUACUUCUACACUGUUGAACUUAAAAACGUGCCACAUCGGCCGUUAAAAUAGUCAUUUUCGAGACCUUUUGAUCGCUUGGUAAAUGAUGCCAAAAAAUAAUAAAAUUUGGUUUCUAAAUAGUUCCAAUAGGGUAGAUUAUACUUAACGGAGCCGAUCGUCGAAUUGAAUUUCCUAUCAUCGAAAACAACUUACAAGCACGGAGGUCUCCGUACUUUCGAAAGUACAGGAGACUUACUCUCUCUCUCUCUCUCUCUCUCUCUCUCUCUCUCUCUCUCUCUCUCUUUCUCUCUCUAUAUAUAUAUAUAUAGAGUCCGGCUACUAUGCUAUUGUUGCGUGCCAAAAAUCUCCGAUCCUCGACCUGGUCACAGGUCCUCCUCGGGGAGCGUGUCAGGAUGGAAACGGCUUAUGAUACUGACCCUCGAAGUUUGCGCCAUUUGAUUGAUCAAGCGAUUCAGCUGACGAGGGAUCCGAUCAGCCGGGUUCGAAGCCUCUAUAGUAAAUUUGGUUCGGCUAUUAGAGCCGAAUGUACUGCCCAAGAAAAAGCUGAAGUCGGCCCAUGAGCCGAAUAGCUAAAGAACACAGAAAUUGAUCGGCUUGAAGAGCCGAAUGCCUUUAUAUUCACUGAUAAGAAGUACAGGGGUCGAGUGUGCCGGAUGGCAUGCAGACUCAGUUGAUCUACUUAAAACUACUCCUAGGAAGAACAAUAAAUACUGGAAAGAGAAAAUUACAAGUAGACUACUCCUAGAAAAUGCAGAAAAUUAUGAGGAAAAUAAGGGCGGUCUUUUGUUCACAGGAAAAAGACCUCUUUUUAGGGCGUUAUUGGCCUAUUUAUAGAUCGCCCAUUGAUCAGUUAUUGCUUUUACACGAUCGGCCACUAUCUCCUAAUAUUUCGGAUCACCUCCAGCCGAUCGGAACCACUUGCAAUGGCUUGCGGUUACUGUAACUUCCCUGAAGUCGUGCGAUUUAAUAUUCUGCCGGUGCUCCUGGUGCACUGCAAAUCAAUACAACUGAAUGGAGUACCGGUGUACCAUAUGUCCGCGCCUUAUUGGCUCAACAGCUAUUAAUAGCACGAAACACUUGGUGCUACCAAGUUUUCCGCCGUUAGAUCUACCCUUUUGAUCAUUUUCACUCAUUAUAUCAUACUAUUUAACUAACCACCCUCUCAACCCUAGGGGGCCCACAUCAUCUCUUAAUCCAAUGGCCAAAAACUUAGUAGCACCAAUGACUUGGUGUUAGUAAUAGUAUACUAGCCUAGUUCUAUAUAUAUAUAUAUAUAUAUAUAUAUAUAUAUAUAUAGAGAGAGAGAGAGAGAGAGAGAGAGAGAGAGAGAGAGAGAGUUGGACUGGGCUACUAUUUCUAGCAAAAUCCCAUUGUUGCUAUUAGUUUUUUAGCCUUUGGAUCAACUCUUUUCAUCAUUUCUAACCAUUGGAUUAAAUACUAACCCAGGUGCGGACACUCAACCCUAGGGGGACCACUCAACUCUUACUGACUAUUAUUAUUUUAACCUUACAAUUUUCAUCCAAAGGUUAAAAAACUUGAUUAAAAAAAAAGCGUUAUUACUAUUUAAUAGUUUUACUUAUAUAUACUAUAUAUAUGUAGGUAUAUAGCUAAUAUGUACGUAGUAAUAUUACUACUAGUAUAUAAGUAUAGGUAUAUAGUAUAGAGUUAUAUAUAUAUAGAAUAGGCUGGAAUAUAUUAAUAGUAAAAACGCUCUUUUUGCUAUCAAGUUUUUUAAUCCUUGGAUGAAAAAUUGUAGGGGUCAGUAUAAUAUUUAGUCGGUUAGAGGUUGAGUGGUCCACCCUAGCGUUGAGUUGGUCCCCACUGGGUUCAUAGUUAUUCUAUCCAAUGGUUAGAAAUGAUGAAAAGAGUUAAUCCAAAGGCUAAAACACUGGUGAGAACAAUGGAUUUUGCUACUAAUAGUAGCCCAGUCCAUAUAGUAUAUAUAACGUAUAUAUAUGUAAUAUAUAUAUAUAGUAUUAUAUUAUAUAGUAUAUAUAUGGUAAUAUACGUAUAUAUUAAUUAUGUAUGAUAUAUAUAUAUAUAUAUUAGUUUGGACUUCUUUUUAAUCUCUAAUUAAUAUUUCGGGAUUACCCCAUUCGAUUCAAGCUGACAACUAAGCAACAAUGUCAGUUUGAAUUUAAUUAUACAGGUUUGUAUGAUUUAGGCUAUAGGCUAUAGCACACUCAAUUUUAUUAGAUCAAAAUAAUCUAAACCCUAAACUCUAAUUAAUAUUUCCGGAUUAGCCCAUUCGUUUCAAGCUCACAACUAAGUAACAAUGACAGUUUGAAUUUAAUUAUACGGAUUUGUAUGAUUUAGGCUAUAGCACACUCAAUUUUAUUAGAUCAAAUUAAUCUAAUUAAGGACUUGGAUCCUAAUAAAUGUGACGUGUUCUAUUUAAUCCAAGCCCAAGUCAAAAAUUAGGCUGAUUUGGUUUUGAAUCCAAGGGGAAAUAAUAGUCGGCCCAACAAAAAUAAAUGGGUAAUGUAAUACACUGGACUUUCGCAAAUUGCGGAGUUCGAGUAUGUGGAAUGGUGUGUGGAUCACUCCUACAUGUUCUAAAAGGUUAGAACAAGUUUUUGGAUAAGUUAGAGGAUGAUUGGAAUGCUAAAAGUAAGAAAGUGCAUUGAUUGGGCGAAAUCAGCCUUUUCUGCUUGGUGUACCGGUACAGCCCUUAUGGUGUACCGGUACACAAUGCAGAAACGUGGCAGCUUGGGUAUUUUGGUCUUUUCACAUCUUGAUCUCAUCCAUAUGAAGCCAGCACGACUUCUGGAGCUCAGUGGAGGUUGCUGAGGCUCAGAGCACCCUUCUUCUUCAUCUCUCUCUCUCUCUCUCUAGGGUUUUUCUCUCUCUACAUCGAAUUCGCCGAUUUCGCUCGUUUUCGUCGCCGCGCGCGUUCUUCGCUGGUUGCGAGCGUCGCAGCACCUUUGUGCACGUGCAAGAGAGCGUUUUGGAGGGAUUUUCGCAGCCCUGGACCAGUGAGGUGCUGGUUGGAAGCUUGAGAAGGUAAACGACUUGAUUUUUCCGUUAUCGACGUUCUAUUCGUCGAUUUGAGUAGCGAUUUCAGAUUUUUGCUCUUGGCUGUUCUAAACUGAGAAUUCAGCUAUUAUUAAUGAGUUAAUUAGCUGUGAAUUAACCUUCUUAGACCUGGGAUAAGCUACUUUGAAGCUUAAUUGGAAUAUUUAGCCAUUUAUGAAGCUAAAAUCGGAACUUAAUGCACUAAGUUGUGCGAAUUGAUGCAAAUUGGGAUUNNNNNNNNNNNNNNNNNNNNNNNNNNNNNNNNNNNNNNNNNNNNNNNNNNNNNNNNNNNNNNNNNNNNNNNNNNNNNNNNNNNNNNNNNNNNNNNNNNNNNNNNNNNNNNNNNNNNNNNNNNNNNNNNNNNNNNNNNNNNNNNNNNNNNNNNNNNNNNNNNNNNNNNNNNNNNNNNNNNNNNNNNNNNNNNNNNNNNNNNNNNNNNNNNNNNNNNNNNNNNNNNNNNNNNNNNNNNNNNNNNNNNNNNNNNNNNNNNNNNNNNNNNNNNNNNNNNNNNNNNNNNNNNNNNNNNNNNNNNNNNNNNNNNNNNNNNNNNNNNNNNNNNNNNNNNNNNNNNNNNNNNNNNNNNNNNNNNNNNNNNNNNNNNNNNNNNNNNNNNNNNNNNNNNNNNNNNNNNNNNNNNNNNNNNNNNNNNNNNNNNNNNNNNNNNNNNNNNNNNNNNNNNNNNNNNNNNNNNNNNNNNNNNNNNNNNNNNNNNNNNNNNNNNNNNNNNNNNNNNNNNNNNNNNNNNNNNNNNNNNNNNNNNNNNNNNNNNNNNNNNNNNNNNNNNNNNNNNNNNNNNNNNNNNNNNNNNNNNNNNNNNNNNNNNNNNNNNNNNNNNNNNNNNNNNNNNNNNNNNNNNNNNNNNNNNNNNNNNNNNNNNNNNNNNNNNNNNNNNNNNNNNNNNNNNNNNNNNNNNNNNNNNNNNNNNNNNNNNNNNNNNNNNNNNNNNNNNNNNNNNNNNNNNNNNNNNNNNNNNNNNNNNNNNNNNNNNNNNNNNNNNNNNNNNNNNNNNNNNNNNNNNNNNNNNNNNNNNNNNNNNNNNNNNNNNNNNNNNNNNNNNNNNNNNNNNNNNNNNNNNNNNNNNNNNNNNNNNNNNNNNNNNNNNNNNNNNNNNNNNNNNNNNNNNNNNNNNNNNNNNNNNNNNNNNNNNNNNNNNNNNNNNNNNNNNNNNNNNNNNNNNNNNNNNNNNNNNNNNNNNNNNNNNNNNNNNNNNNNNNNNNNNNNNNNNNNNNNNNNNNNNNNNNNNNNNNNNNNNNNNNNNNNNNNNNNNNNNNNNNNNNNNNNNNNNNNNNNNNNNNNNNNNNNNNNNNNNNNNNNNNNNNNNNNNNNNNNNNNNNNNNNNNNNNNNNNNNNNNNNNNNNNNNNNNNNNNNNNNNNNNNNNNNNNNNNNNNNNNNNNNNNNNNNNNNNNNNNNNNNNNNNNNNNNNNNNNNNNNNNNNNNNNNNNNNNNNNNNNNNNNNNNNNNNNNNNNNNNNNNNNNNNNNNNNNNNNNNNNNNNNNNNNNNNNNNNNNNNNNNNNNNNNNNNNNNNNNNNNNNNNNNNNNNNNNNNNNNNNNNNNNNNNNNNNNNNNNNNNNNNNNNNNNNNNNNNNNNNNNNNNNNNNNNNNNNNNNNNNNNNNNNNNNNNNNNNNNNNNNNNNNNNNNNNNNNNNNNNNNNNNNNNNNNNNNNNNNNNNNNNNNNNNNNNNNNNNNNNNNNNNNNNNNNNNNNNNNNNNNNNNNNNNNNNNNNNNNNNNNNNNNNNNNNNNNNNNNNNNNNNNNNNNNNNNNNNNNNNNNNNNNNNNNNNNNNNNNNNNNNNNNNNNNNNNNNNNNNNNNNNNNNNNNNNNNNNNNNNNNNNNNNNNNNNNNNNNNNNNNNNNNNNNNNNNNNNNNNNNNNNNNNNNNNNNNNNNNNNNNNNNNNNNNNNNNNNNNNNNNNNNNNNNNNNNNNNNNNNNNNNNNNNNNNNNNNNNNNNNNNNNNNNNNNNNNNNNNNNNNNNNNNNNNNNNNNNNNNNNNNNNNNNNNNNNNNNNNNNNNNNNNNNNNNNNNNNNNNNNNNNNNNNNNNNNNNNNNNNNNNNNNNNNNNNNNNNNNNNNNNNNNNNNNNNNNNNNNNNNNNNNNNNNNNNNNNNNNNNNNNNNNNNNNNNNNNNNNNNNNNNNNNNNNNNNNNNNNNNNNNNNNNNNNNNNNNNNNNNNNNNNNNNNNNNNNNNNNNNNNNNNNNNNNNNNNNNNNNNNNNNNNNNNNNNNNNNNNNNNNNNNNNNNNNNNNNNNNNNNNNNNNNNNNNNNNNNNNNNNNNNNNNNNNNNNNNNNNNNNNNNNNNNNNNNNNNNNNNNNNNNNNNNNNNNNNNNNNNNNNNNNNNNNNNNNNNNNUAUGUUCAGCUAUAUGUUGCUCAUAGUUUAGGUUCAGGUUUAUGUUUCUCAUAUGUUAGGUCCUAGAGUUGUUUUUCCUCUUUAUUAGAGUUGGGGCUUUCAUUUAUAUGUAGUGCCCACAUGUUUUUCUUAUCUAUGUUACCACCAGAGAGAUAUAUAUAUACCUGUAGUGGGAGCUUUGCUCUGAUAUCAGGAUAGGACUUCUUGUUUUACUUCCUAUUGACUUGCUUCUUGUAGACGCCUUAUAUACUGCAGGUGUAUGGCGGGUCUGUUCACGUACCGGAUAUGCUUCCGCUGGUAUCCGGGCGUGACAGGUAAAUUACAUUGUUACCUCAUGAACUUUUGACGAAGUUUCACUUUAUCCCUCGAACUCCUAUAAUGGACAUCUAACACCCUAAACUUCAAUAUUUCAUUCAUAUUACCCCUUCCGUCAGUUUUCUGUCAAGUUCCGUUAACCGAAAACUGACGAAAGGAGUAAAACGAAUGAAAUAUUAGAGUUUAGGCUGUUAAAUGUCUAUUUUAGGAGUUUGGGGAUUAAGUGAAACUCGCCAAAAGUUCAGGAGGUACCAGUGCAAUUCACCGAGGUACCAGUGCAAUUUACCCUAAUAUGUUACUUAUGGAUUGACUACUAACCCUCAAGUUAAUGAUCAUACUUGAUUUUGAAUUUAUAUAUAUAUUUUUUAUCUUAAAAUAAAUCAUACCAUAAUUUAUCCUACAUUUUAUUGUAAUAAAAUAAAAGCAAAAAAAAUAAAUUAGAGUGGCUUAAAGAUAAGAAAAGAGCGAUACUAACUACCUACGAUGCUUGAACACUCUACUGUCCUGGUGUACUCGCUAAUAUGGUUGAUUUACAAUAGGUGUCAUCACUCGAAUAUAGAGAUUUUAAUUCUCAGUUAAUUUUCUGUAGUACUCGUUUGUCCCUUUUAUCUUUAGAAGUAUUGUUCUAAAGUAUUAUAAAAUAUUUUGGGCGACGGUUAGGCCUAAAAGGUUAACAGAGUUAAGCUUGCUAGAGUUAGAGUAGUUCUAAGAUUGAUGACUUUCGAGGAAGUAGGACAUCAUAUUGGUAUCAGAGCCAAUAACUAACAGAAAAUGUGAGAUAAGUCUCAACUGAGUCGGAGUCAUAUAGUGGAUAAAACACGGCUUCUCGGCUGAUAACCGUUGUUGGUAAAGUACAACUUUCCACAUGGUCGGUUAAGGCUAGCGAGAUGAGUCUCAUAUCGCUUCGUGCUUGUGAGUGUAAUGGAGCAUGACGACGACGUUCGGGAUUAAAGAGGGGAGGAAUGUGACACCCCUAUAACUGGAAAUAGUCUUAUUAUGAAAUAUAAUAAGGUUAAAUCUCCUAAUCCGACUAUAAUAUUUUAGGCGAUGGUUACACAUACUAUUUGUGCACCUAUAUAUACAUGUGUGUAAAUUUUACGCUCUUCAAAUCCUAGGGUUCAUAAAAUCGAAGUGGAUUGUAUUUAAAGAGGAGGGAAAAAAAAUUGAUAAGACUAGUAAGAAACUAAAGAACUUUUGGAUGAGUGGACUGUAAAAUUUAUAAAAAUGUAUGGACAGCAUUGUUCUUUAAGAAGAGUAUAGGCAGGAGAAACAAUCCAAAUUAUUUCCAUCUAUGAAACAAAAUUAUACACCAAAAGUAAUUAUUUCGCAGACCAAAGGUGUGCAAAUAAAAAAAAGCCGGUACAAACUUGUAAAACGCUAAAACAUGUAGAUUUAUUGUGCAAAAUGGCCGAAGCACUAUUAAAACAGAUAUUUUUAUACAUUACAUAUUCUGUGGUGUACAUUAUGGGACCGUUUGGUUGUAUGUAGUUAUAACUGCACUGCAGUUGUAAUUGCAUAUAAAUUCAAAUUUUGUAUUUGGUUUGAUGUAUUUAACUCCAACUGCUGUAGUAAGAACUGCAGGGGGAGGCCCAACUGCUGCAGUUUGAACUACGCCCAAAUUGGCCGCAGUUCCAACUACAGCAGUUGGAGAGAGUAAUUUUAAAUAAAAGGUAUGCUUACCUCCUUAAUAUUUUUAAACAAUUUUUUUUUUUUUUUUUUUACAUGGAGGUAAUCUCACCAUCAUAUAUAUAAAAUAAUAAAAUUUUAAAAAUUAUUUCUCAACUGCAUGCAACCAAACAAAUUAUUUAUACUUGUAGCGUUUUCUACUACAUCUAACCAAACAAGAUUCAUCUAGUUAUAACUACCCUUAUUUCCAACUGAAAUGUAAUCUUCAUAAUACACCUUGCAUUAUAUUACAUCUAACCAAACAGACCCCUAUAUGAAGGGGUGUCAAACAGGCUGGCGGGCGUCCCGGCGGCGCACAAUAGCGGCGCCUGGGCCGUGGCCCGGCACGGGAUAUGUAGCUAUGUGCCGGGCCGGCUCCCGACUCCUUUAUUAGUGGGCGUUGCUGGACCGACUUUUAGGCGUGGCCCGGCACGUACGGUCGCAAAGGCUCUGGACUCCGUUGCUGGUUUCGACAGUUCUGACGCGGCCCGACCAUGGCAGGCCCUGUGCGGCACGUGCUCCCCUAUCCGGCCAUUGGUCCCCGGCCGAUCCCAAGGCCUUGGGAUUUUUGGCCCAUUUCAGGAGAAGGGCCUUCCCCUUCUCCCUAGGUUGUGCCUAAUGUGGCAGACCUAUGGGCUCUUCCCACGGCUGCUCACAACUCUCGGACCUCCUCCUUUGGGAGCGCGCCGCAAUUCUUAUCUAUUUUUGGCGUUUACAAACUUACCUCCCAACAAUUAAACUUUUGAUUGUUGGGGAAGGCAAUUUGGUCCAAAUUUUUUAUAUUUUAAAAUUUAUUGUAUUUUUAAAAAUUAAUUUUAUAUUUUAAAAUUUAUUGUAUUUUUAAAAAUUAAAAAAAUUAAUGGGCGGUCCAGAGCCCGACCCGGCGGCACGGCCCGUACCCUUCGGGCCGGGGGCCGUGCUGGGCCGAAGUCGUGAGAAAUCUAGCACGGCAUGGCCUGGACCGUGCCGGGCUAGCGCUUGGCCCGUUUUGGCUCGAAAAAUGUGGAAUGCCUCCUUAAUUAAAUUAUACGUGUCUAUCUUUUUCUUUAAAAUGAAAAAAAAAAAACAUCAAGAGGUGUCAUAAAAAUCCAAUCCCAAAAAAAGUCAACUAUUGGCCACACAUGCUCGGAGGGGUCACAAAUUUAUAGUGCACAUAAAACUAUUGAUUCGGUCAAUCUCUGUCGAAGUUGAAGUUAAAAAAAAGGAGGAAAAACUAAGUAGUUUUUAAAAAAGAAUUCGGAGUGGACCCAUUCGCUCUAUGACUUGGGGAGUUAAUUAAUUGCUGGCUACUAGAUGUUGGAAAAUAUCAAUCACACCACAUUGGCUUGCAACUAUUUGUAUCCUCAGCAAGUAGAAACUAAUUCCCUACACCAAGUGCAUCGGAUCGAUUGGCUAUGCACCACACCAAUUCUGGUCACCCAUUCAUUUCAUAUUUUAAUAUUAACUUCUUUUUUUUUUCUCAAUUUUCAGUCAUCAAUUUCAAUCUUUUAGAAGUUUAUUUGCACAUGUCAUUUUAAUUUACUUAGGUCUAGUUACAAUGUUUGAAUAAGUUAUUUAAGAAAAUAACUAACUCGGACUGAAAUUUUUCUCAUGUGAGUAAAAGCAAAAUGUUUACGCUUUUUUUCUUUUUAAAAGAUUUUGAUAUUUAUUAUUUAGUUGGAUGAUGUAUUUUAUCUAUGAGACAUUAUUUUAUUUUGAAAAAAUAAUUUAAUAGUCAAAUAUGAUAUUUUUAUUUUUAGAUGUUUAAUUAUACUUUGGAAAAACUUCAAAAACCCCCCUUGUAGUUUCAAUUUUCUUCACUUUAGUACCCUGUGGUUUAAAAUGUAUCAAGUUAGUGCCCUGUGGUUUCACACUUUAUCACUUUAGUACCCUGUGGUUUAAAGUGUAUCAAGUUAGUACCCUGUGGUUUUGCACUUUAUCACUUUAGUACCCUGUGGUUUUAAUUUUGUAUCAAGUUAGUACCCUGUGGUUUUUUAAAUCACAGGGUACUAAAGUGAUAAAGUGUGAAACCACAUGGUACUAAAGUGAUAAAGUGCAAAACCACAGGGUACUAACUUGAUAUACUUUAAACCACAGGGUACUAAAGUGAUAAAGUGCAAAACCACAGGGUACUAACUUGAUACACUUUAAACCACAGGNGGAUACUAAAGUGAUAAAGUGAGAAACCACAGGGUACUAACUUGAUACACUUUAAACCACAUGGUACUAAAAUGAAAAAGUGUGAAACCACGGGGGGGUUUUUGAAGUUUUCCCUUAUACUUUUCAUCUACCAAAUACUAUAAGUUUUUUGAAUAAAUCAAAAACCUUAAAAACAUAUAGCGCAUGUUUGGUUGCAUGUAGUUGCAACUGCACUGCAGUUGUAAUUGCAUGUAAAUACAAAUUUCGUAUUUGGUUUGCAUUUAACUCCAACUGCUGUAGUAGAAAUUGCAGAAGGAGGCCCAACUGCAGCAGUUUGAACUACACCCAAAUUGGCCGCAGUUCCAACUGCAGUAGUUGGAGAAAGUAACUUUAAAUAAAAGGUAUGCUUACCUCCUGAAUAUUUUUUAAACAAAAAUUAUUUUCUUUUGUUACAUUGGAGGUAAUCUCACCAUCAUAUAUAUAAAAUAAUAAAAUUUUAAAAUUAUUUUUCAACUGUAUGCAACCAAACAAAUUAUUUAUACUUGCAGCGCUUUCUACUACAUCCAACCAAACAUGAUUCAUGUAGUUGUAGCUGCUGUAUUUACAACUACAUGCAUCUCUAACUAUACUGCAUUUAUAAUUACAUCUAACCAAAUGGCCCCAUAGUACUUUAAGAGAUGAUGAAUAUAACCCAAUGUUUAGCAAUUAGGUUUCGAAAUUGGGGCCUCAAAUAUCAACCACCAAACCUUUUGCCAGUUGCAUUAGGGACGAUCAAUUCAGAAUAUAAUAAAUUAGUCCGUAGAUAAAAAAUGUUAUAUACUUCUAUUAGAAAUAUGUAAAAAAAAAAUUUAAUAAUAAAAAAAACUAAACUUCUAACUUCCAAUUACAUAGAAGAAAAAAAAAAUUCACACAAAAUAAGCUAGUAUUGAGUUUUUAAUUUCAAUGGGUACAUCUAUUCUAUUCUUUCUACUACAUUAAAGGAGGGUUUGGGGGGACCAAAGGGGGGACACGUGUCACCCUNNNNNNNNNNNNNNNNNNNNNNNNNUAGAGGGGUAUUUCUUGAACUUAUUUUUUUAGGAACUCUAAUAAUUUGGACUUCUUUAACUCUAUUUUUACAGUGUUUUUCACUUUUUUAUUGAAUUUUAGAAUUCUUUUAAGUAUUUUUAUUUUUACUUUGUAAAAUUGCUUUGAAAAAAUAUAAUAUAACAUGCACUAAAGAAUAUAGUAUAAAAAUAGAUUUUUUUUUAUGCACUUAUAUUUGUUUUUAUCCUCAUGAUAGCUUCGUUAGGAAUUAACCUAAAAAAAAAUCAAUAAUAAAUUAGAAUAAAAUAUUUAUUUUAACUUUUGAAUUAUUUUUCUCUAAUUUAUUAUUGAUUUUUUUUUUAUGCACUUAUAUUUGUUUUUAUCCUCAUGAUCGCUUCGUUAGGAAUUAACCUAAAAAAAAUCAAUAAUAAAUUAGAGAAAAAUAAUUCAAAAGUUAAAAUAAAUAUUUUAUAAUUAAACUCAUAACAUAAAAUUAGUAGAGAAGAAAAAUCAAAAGGAAAAAAUAACAAUUGUCUUACUAAUUACUAAUUAACAACUGAAUUAAAAGUAGAGAAUAAAUACAUCACACCUCCUACAGUGGUUGCCAAAGCUCCGAGUGAACCCGAAAUAGGCCAUGGACUUGGAUCUACCAAAUGAUAAGAAUGCCUCUGAGAUUCAAUCAUAAACCACUUUGCCCCGGUUGUAUGUAAACCCCCCUUCACCCCAUCCCCAAAAGUGGUAAAGAAGGGGGCUCUUUUUGGUCUCAUUUUCUUUCUAUCUGACAGGACAAACAAAUAGGAAGGGAUGGUUCUUUCAUUGCAUUGAUAGAAGUGAUACUAUCAAAAGAUCUCUCUAUUACUUUUUUGAUUUGAGAAGAGAAUCGUUGGUUUGACCCACUUUCUACGUGGGAAAAUAAAUAGACCUUAAUUAAUCAUUGGUUUGCAUUUCCUCACUGACGCAUUUUUUGUUGGCGUCAGCUUCUUCUUCCAAUGCCCUCUUCAAUUCGUUGGCACGGAAUAAAUUUUUCUAAUGAUAUUCAAAGAUAGAUCAAAGAGGAUGUCCAUUGUAUCCUUGCACGUGCCUUCAACUAUGUCACAGAUAAGAGAGUCCUCGUUAAGGUUAAGGAAAGAACCAUUUUCCUCAGGUUAGGAGGUCAGAACAUUGGCUUUGAAUAGACCAUGAAGCUUUUUAUCUUAUCUGGUCUUCGUCUGAUGACGGGUCCGCCAGAUGACGGUUAGAGCGUUAAGCGCAGUCUCUCUCGAUAAGGGAGUUGUGUCCACGCCUAUUCCUCCAUUUCAUACUUCCUCGCCGCCGACAGACCCAUUGCUGGCUACAAUACAACAAAUACUACCACACCCGCUUCUUUUUUAUCGAAGAAGUGAAAGAGGGGGAUAAUUCUAUAUCAAAAUAGAUUUUCAUUUUUUUAUUUAGACCAACUGAAAGACUCAACGUUACGAGGAUAUAACGAGGGUUGUUGACCCAACAAAAGUCAGGGUUAUCUUCCUCGCUCGCCUACGGCUCGCUAACUGCCUUCUUUAUUCUUUGCUUCUCAACUUCUGGUUUCGAAACCUCCAGAACGAAAGAAAGAAAAAUUCCCUAGGAUAGGUAUCGAUUUGUGACUCAAAGAAGGGAUUUUCGGUUCGGUUGCAAUGCAAAGCCUUUUAAUAGAUCAAUUCCUUUCCGUGAUAGGUAAAACAUCUCCUCCUACGUCGAAAACUGAGGUAAGACAGCCGGUUGAUCGACAACAGGUACUCUACUACUUCACGAACCGAUUGACUUAUCUUUCUGGUCAGGUCGAGACACUGCUUCCGAAUCCAUUGAUUCCCAAUCCGUAGCUGCUGCGCCAUAGUUGAUCCCAGUCGCCUUGUCUUUGGCCCCCUCCUCCGACCGGCUGCAUUUCCUACUAUUUUUCCAAACAUCUCGAGUUGGAGGACGACAAAUCUUGACCGUCAUGAAAUACGAAUCUUUCUGAUCCUUUCCGUGUUCGGAAGCAUUAGCUGCUAGGCCCAGGAAGGCUUCUUCAGUCAGGUGGGGCAGAUCGAGUCAUCCCUAAAUUGUGAAAGUCCUCGGAUCGAAUGUAGGGCUUGAGUCAACUACUCUAUUUAAUGCCCAUCCCACUCCGGAAGUUAGGGGAUCGGAGCGAACAACACGUCGAAUCUCUGGUCCCGGGUCAUGAUAGGCAGGAGGAGAUCUUCUCUCUCUCUAGUUCCGAUUCGUUCGAUCGAAUGAAAAAAAAAAAAGUAUACACUAUAUUUCCUAAAAUAUUUAGGUCCUGAAAUUUAAAUUCUUGUAAUUUUUUUAUACAGCAAUAUUUUAACGUGAUUAAAUUGCCCAAAUCUAUUCAAGUUUAGUUUUAUUAAGCAAUUCUCUUCGCGUUUUUAAUAAUUUUAAUUAAUAUAAAUAUUAAUUAAUUAUUAAUAAAAUUAAUUAAUUUUUCAUAGGUUUAGAGAUUUAAAAUUGGUAAUUUGUGAAGUUUAAAUUUGAAAAUAUAUUAUAAGUUAAAUGAAAUUAGAAUUUAAAAUAUAAAUAUAAAAUUUCUUGAAAUUUAAACUUUUAAAAUGAAAGUAUCAAAUUUUAAAAUUUGAUAUCAAAAUUAAUUAUAUUAUAUUUAUAUAUAGUAUGAGGCUGGCAAUGAUGCGAGCGGGCUCGGCGUGUCGCUCGAUAUUUGGCUCGCCUCGGAAUGGCGUGAAAGGAGCGUCGACUCGACAUUAAAUGCAGCAAGCUGAACAAAAAAAAAAAGACGAAAUUAUUUCAAGCUGAGCUGAGUAUUAUCGCCGCUGAAUUAGGCUCGAAGCUCGAAUUAUUAUAUAUAUAUAUAUAUAUAUAAUAUAUAUACUAUAUAUAUAUAUAUAUUAAAAUAUUAAUAUAUUAUUUUAAUUAUUAUGACUGAGGUGGUAAUCUGGUUAGUAAAAUUAGACCGAAUAUGUUUUGGGUCCAUAAAAACAAACUCAAUAGAGCAAACAAAAUGGCAAAAUUUUACUAAAUUUUAUACUUUCUCCUUUUCUNNNNNNNNNNNNNNNNNNNNNNNNNUGUGUAUAUAUAUAAUUAAUUUUAUUAAAUAAUUUCUUCUACAAUUUUAUUUUCCUUCUAUUUAUUGAUUUUUUAAAAAUUAUUUUGAUAGAUUUAUCUUAAGUUCUUUUUAUAUAAAUUUUUAUAAAAUAAAUUAUUGUAUAAAUUUACUUUGCGCAUAUACUAAUUUUAAUGACUUUUAUUUAAAUAGAUUUAACUAUUAAAUCAUUUUUAUAUAAUUUUUAUUUAAUUAAUAAUUAGACUUAUAAAACUAUAUAAAAAUAUUAAAAAAAAUAAAUUUUAUUAUAAAAAUAUUUUUAUAUCCGCAGCAUCUAUAGCGACCCAGCCCACUAGCAACAAUAACUCGUUGGUCCCAAACAUCGGCUCAAAAUGCUUAAGCCCAGUUAUUAUUACUAGUAUUUAAGUCUCUUAUAUACCCAAUUACGUCCCUAUUCAUAUCCGAUGUGGGAUUAUUGGGGUGUCACAGACUCCCCCCAUUAAGGCCCUGACGUCCCCGUUAGUCCAAUCACACACUGCCCAAGAUCACCAGGCGAUGUGAGACGCGUCUCGCUAGCCUUGUCAUUCAGACCCUGACAUAGCCGGUCACCUUGUCAUACAGACUCCGACAUUGUCUAUCACCUUAUCUUUCAGACCCUGGCUCAGCCGAGACUAGCCACACAUUUCCGGCCGGUGAUUGGCUCUGAUACCAAAUGUAACAACCUAGCCCACUAACAACAAUAACUCAUUGGGCCCAAACACUGGCCCAAAAUGCUUAAGUCUAGUUAUUAUUACUAGUAUCUAAGUCUCUUAUAUACCCAAUCACAUCUCCAUUCAUAUUCGAUGUGGGAUUAUUGGGGUGUGAUAGACUCCCCCAGUUAAAGAAAGUUUCAUCCCCGAAAUUUGCUCACAUGCAAGGGUGAUCCGAUACUUAACGAACCAGAACAACGCAUGUGUGCGAUGCAAGAAGAGAUGCAUUUGUAACGAAAAGCUUGCUAUUUAUGACAACAAACAAAAUUUAUUGCCACGCCCCAGAUGUCUCGUUCCUCGGGCACGCCGACAAACCCGCCGUAUACAAAGGAGUUUCCCCUGUAUACGAAGCGAUUGCUGUACCUGUAAAUCAUACACUACUACGAACAGUAGUAGAGAGCUACUAGAAUAGCAAGAGCUAAACAAACUGAGCUUCAUAUACAUAGUUCAAAAAUCAAAAUACAGAGUUACUCGCACUGGCGAGUUAAGUACCAUGUACAUAAGCUCGAAAUAAAACAACUACCUGCAGUAGGGUGCCUCUAGCUCUGCUCGGCGGGUAGGGUUCUAACUCGCGACGCCCUUGCCUCGAUCCUGAUCCGCGGAAGACGCAGCAGCCGAAACCUGUGGCUCUGCAAAACAGGGGUAACAACAGGGCGUGAGAACUACUGUAAAAAUAAGUAGUCCUCAGUGGGUGCCGCCCAAAACAACAUCGGUCCACCUACAAAGUCUACAGAAGGGAGCAAUGGUAAAAGUAAAAUGCUAGAAUGAACUCUACAGCUACUUGUCACUACACCAUCCUUCUCUAAGCUAACCAACUGUAGGAAAUGUCAAAACUGACCAAAUCCAAUCGGGACUGUAAACAUACCCGUCUCGGGGACUGUGAAUACACCCGUCCUUGCCCAAUUGCGACUAUCCAGUUACCUCCACACUAACUGGUCCGUGGAGAGCAAGUCUAACCGGCAUGAGCGACACCAACGCAAAAGCACAAAGCCCGUCUCCGGAGUGGCACUCGUGGGCGCUACCCAACCGAGUAUGCAGCGUAUCUCUGUCGAGCUCAAACAGGCUCUGAAAAGCCAAAGUCAAGUAACCGACUCUAACUGGUCUAAUAACCAACCGUUCACGUGCCCUCGGCACAAUCUGUCGCCAAAAAGGCUAUCCGGGUCCACCGUCAACCUAACGGCACCCAACAGUUCGGAACAUCCCAAACGACCCUGUAAAAAUCCAAUCGGCAUACCAGCACGAGUGUAAAUGUAUGCUAAACUAUCUGGAGUACUCGUCUCGAGGAUACUGCGACAGUACAAUUUUAUAACGGCUCCUAGAACUAAAUCAGACAGUUUAAACAAGUAAUAGGUCCAAAUCGUAGGUUUUCUCCUAAUUCCAAUUCCAAGUCCAACAUGUAUAAACUACUCAAUUUAAUACCACAUGCUCCAAAUUCAGAUUUGCAAUCUAUNCCUGGCUCAGCCGAGACUCAUCUCACACUUCCGGCUGGUAAUUGGCUCUGAUACCAUCUGUGACGCCCCGACUUCCCAGGGGGUCACCCAUCCUAGGACUACUCCCGUCCUAGCACGCUUAACUCUCUUAACCUCUUGGGCCUUGCCACCACCCAAAAUGCUUAAGCCGGGUUAAGAGUUUAGUCCUAUUAUAUCUCAUAUAUAGGACUAUCUGGGGUCUCACAACAAGAGCCAACCCGAGAGCAGCUAAGCGGGUGCGCGCUGGUUGUACCGGUACAGCCACGCUGGUUGUAUCAGUACAGCAAGCAGAGAAAUCUGCUGUUUUGCAAAUUUUUUCGCUAUAAGCUGCCCUCGCGUCGCACGGAGUCCGUUUUGCGUCUAUUUGACGCCAACGCGACUCGGACUUAUCCCGACACUCUCCAGAGUUGCCGGCAAGCCUCCACAGCUGUACACCAGGGAUCUCACAUUUAUACCUGCGACGACAUCAGUCGAUUGAUUUUCCUCUUGACAUGUCAUCAUGUAGACACGCCCGUCCGUGGUCUGGUGUGCCCCCUCCUCCAGCCAAGAUGUAGAAGGGCGUCCAGGCGAAGAAUACGCCGUGUGGCCAACGCGGACACCUUCGGGCAGAUUGCACCAAUGGAGCAGGUCGUACCCACUGGGAAACCUUAAUUGUGGUUUCUCACCCCCCCAUUUAGUAUUAUAUAAUAUAACGACCUAGCCCACUAGCAACAAUAACUCGUUGGACCCAAACACCGGCCUAAAAUGCUUAAGCCUAGUUAUUAUUACUAGUAACUAAGUCUCUUAUAUAUCCAAUCACAUCUCCAUUCAUAUCCGAUGUGGGAUUAUUGGGAUGUGACAGCAUCGCGCGAGUAUUUCACUAGUGUAUAUAUAUAUAUAUAUAUAUAUAGUAGAGCUGGCAUGCUGUCAGUAGAAAACGAGCUCCGUUGUCCCCUAUUAGUUUUCGAUGAUUGAGCCUCGAAAUCAACGAACAGCAUAUUGAACAUGACCUAUGCUAUUUGAAGUAUCUAGAAAUCUUUUCGAUAUCAUUGACCUAAUGAUCGAAAGGUUUCAAAUUUUGUAAUUUUAAUGGUUGAUAUGAAGCGUUUUCUCAUUUAAUGGUAUAUAGAUAUCCAAAUUAUUUGAAUUUUGAUUAUAUUACAAGAUUCCUAUCAUCACUUUUUAAAGGAUAUUUAUUUUCAGCCGUUCAUUUUGUGUCCACUUGAUGGCCAAGAGAACAAUACCGAAAGAGUAUGAAAUUUGAUUUCUAAAUGCUUCAAAUGGUAUGGAUCAUAUUCAAUGGUGCCAAUCGUCGAUUUGAAGGCUUCAUCAUCGUCGAAACAAAUGUCUCUCUCUCUCUCUCUCUCUAUAUAUAUAUAUAUACUAGUUAAGGGGCCCGCGCGAUGCGGCGGAAAGAUAGUACAAUAGUAAAUUAUUAUAUUAAUAUUAUUAUUUUUUCUAUUAUGCAUUAAUAUUUUUAAAUAUUAUUUAUUUCAGUAUUGAAUAUUUAAAAAUUAAAGAAUAAAUUAAAGAAUGAAAUUAAAUUAUAUUUCUUUCUAAAAAUAUUUAAACCUAAUAAGUAAAAUGGAUAAAUCAAUUUAAAAUAAAACAAAAGCUCAUUACAGUAUUAAGAAAGAUAAAUAAUAAUUUUCUAUUAUAAUCAAGGUAGAAUUUACAAAAUAAAAAUAAAAGCAUUAAGUGGAGUGAAAGUACUAUUUUUGGUAUUCUUAGCAGUAACGUCUUCAUUGUACCCUCAUUAAUUUUUAUCGUUAAACAUGCAACUAAUAAAGUAUUUGAUUCCUAAAUUGUAAAUUAGUGAAGAAAUCAGUAGGUAAUAAUUAGAGGAAAAAAAAUAAGACUAAUCAAAAGGCAUUCAAAAUCAAAAUAAAUAUUUUUUACACUGUAAAAAGAUUCAACUACAAUCCACCAAACCAAGUUUCGCAGUAAUCCGAUCUUCCUACGUCGCACACGAGCCAAAACGCUGAAGGCCGCUGCUGAAAUUCUGCUGGAAUUGCAGUCCUCAAGGUGAAUUUGUAUAAUUUGGAGAGUUUGGAGGGGCUUAAUUGCAAAAUAUGAGCUUCUCUAUGAAAGAGGGUGAAAAACCAUCUCAGGGGGUCGUUCCCAUGCUUUUAUAGAGAGGUGGAAAGGUGCAAUAAGCUUCAAGAACAAAAUUACAAACCAGCUGUCCCUACAAAAGUCUGCACUUUCGGGCACCCGAAACCCACAACUGGGCGUCCGAAACUCCCAGGCAAUACAAAACUCCUUAUUUGGUUCCUCUGCCUACGGUAUGAUGUGCCCUUAACAUAGUUCUGCAGACCUCACCUACCACCUUACACGUGUCAAAGCAAACGUUAAUUACAAGGUGAACAUUCGGGCGCACAUCCGAGUGGCCGAAAAUAGGAUCUGAACUGGCUUCCAGUUUCAGUUUAGUUCAGCACUCAAGAUUUGGGCAACCCAAACCAUGUUCUGGGCGCCCGAAACUGGCAAAACUCCAGUUUUGCUUAUUUGAGUGCGUCAAGUCCGUUUCUGCAUCCAUUUCGUGCAAAAACGACUCCGAUUCAGUCCGAUACUCUCCAAAUGUGUCUAUCAGUCGCUAAAACUGUAGCUAAUCCGAUACCAAACCCCCAGAACACUACAUCCUGCCCCACUAUAAAAUGUUUCGUCCGCGAAACUUAAUGCAUACCUCAAUCCUGAGCAUCGAACAAGUAAGGGUAGGACUCCCGCAUCACCGUCUCCGGCUCCCAAGUCACCUCACGCUCCUCGUGAUUACUUCACUGCAUUUUUACAUAAGGGAUGACCCGGUUGCGCAAUUCUUUCGUUUCACGAUUCAGAAUUCACACCGGUCGCUCCUCAUAUCUUAAGUCCCUGUUAAGCUCCAGCGGAGUGAAGUCAAUCACAUGGGAGGGAUCGAACACGUAUCUCCUCAAUGUCGAGACGUGAAAAAGAUCAUGAAUACCGGCCAGUCGUGAGGGUAGAGCAAUCCUAUAGGCAACCUGUCCAACUCCCUCGAAUACCUCAAAAGGGGCUAAAAACCGUGGACUGAGCUUUCCAUGCACUCCGAAUCUGCGUAUUCCUCUGGACUGCGAGAUUUUCAGAAACAUAUGAUUUUCAACCUAGAACUCUAAGUCUCGUCUCCUAAUAUCUGCGUAGCUCCUCUGUCGACUCUGGGCUGUCAAAAGAUGUCGUCGAAUAGCUUUAACCUUUUCCAAAGCCUCUAUCAGAAUCUCAGGUCCCAGAGUCUUCCUUUCAUCCACAUCACUCCAAUGCAAAGGGGAUUGACACUUGCGUCCAUACAACCCUUCAAAUGGAGCCAUCUGAAUGCUCGUUUGAUAGCUGUUGUUGUACGCAAACUCAGCCAGUCUCAAAUGUCGAUGCCACCCUCCUCCACAGUCUAAGACACAUGUCCUCAGCAUGUCCUCCAGAGUCUGAAUGGUCAUCUCUGACUGACCAUCCGUCUGUGGGUGAAAUGCUGUGCUGAAAUGCAACUGUGUACCCAAGGCUGUUUGAAGACUCUUCCAAAAGUGCGAAACAAACCUCGGGUCUCUGUCUGAUACUAUCGAAGCAGGCACACCAUGCAACCUAACAAUCUCAUCCAGAUAUAACUGAGCGAGUCUCUCCCUGGACCAGGUGGUCUGUACCGAUAAAAAGUGAGCAGACUUAGUCAGUCUGUCCACUAUCACCCAAAUCGAUCAAAACUACUCUGAGCUCUAGGUAAUCUCACGACAAAGUCCAUCGUGAUCUGUUCCCAUUUCCACUCGGACACUGGCAGACUCUGAAGCUUGCCAGCAGGUACUAGAUGCUCUGCCUUUAUCUGUUGACAAGUCAAACAUCGAGCCACAAAUCUGCCAAUGUCUCUCUUCAUUCUAUUCCACCAGAAGUGUACCUUCAAGUCCUUAUACAUCUUAGUUCCAUCGGGGUGAACCGUAUAAGGUGAGUAGUGAGCCUCUCUCAAAAUCUCAUCUCGGAUCUCUGAAUCCAAAGGCACACACAGUUGGUCCCUGUACCGCAGUACUCCUGAACUGUCCACAACAAAACCCUCUGCUUGUUCCCUCUCCAUCUGCUCUCGAAUCCUCAACAAAUAAGAGUCACCACUUUGUUUCUCCCUAAUCCUGUCCAACAGAGUAAGCUGCAAGACCAUAGACAUCAGUCUCGCAGCAGCCCCAGGGGACACUACCUCGAGUCUCAACCGCUGCAACUCCUUAAGUAACGGCCUCUGCUGAGUAAUCAACAUGCUCAAACUCUGCACUGCCUUACCGCUCAACGCAUCUGCCACCACAUUCACCUUGCAGGGGUGAUACUGAAUACUAAUAUCAUAGUCCUUCAACAACUCCAACCACCGGCGUUGCCUCAGGUUCAACUCCUUUUGGGUGAACAGAUAUAUGAGACUUUUAUGAUCAGUAAAAACCUCGCAGUGCUCACCAUAUAAAUAAUAUCGCCACAACUUCAAAGCAAAAAUCACCGCAGCAAGCUCCAAGUCAUGCGUAGGGUAAUUCUUCUCGUAAUCCUUCAAUUGCCGGGAAGCAUAAGCAAUUACCCUACCAUACUGCAUUAGCACACAACUCAAAGCACUGUGCGAUGCAUCACUGUAAAUCCCAAAUCCUUCCCCCAUCACUGGAAGGGCAAGGAUAGGAGCCGACAUCAAUCUCUGUCUCAACUCAUCGAAGCUCCUCUGACAAUUCUCACUCCAGAUAAACUUACUUUUCUUUCGAGUCAAUCGAGUGGGGGGUGUGGAAAGCUUUGCAAAGCCUUCUACAAACCGACGGUAAUAUCCUGCCAAUCCAAAAAAACUUCUCACCUCAGUAACCGUCGUCGGUCUGGGCCAAUCCAGAAUAGCAUCAACUUUCUUCGGGUCCACUGCUACUCCAACUGCAGAAAUCACAUGGCCUAAGAAAGAAACUUUCCGAAGCCAGAACUCACACUUCUUCAACUUAGCAUACAACUUCUUUUCCCUCAGAAGUUGCAGCACAAUUCUUAAGUGCUCCUCAUGCUCAGCAUCACUCCGGGAGUAUAUCAAAAUAUCAUCAAUGAAGACUACUACAAAUCUAUCCAAAGACGGCUUGAACACUCUGAUCAAAUCCAGAAAUGCGGCAGGGGCAUUCGUCAAUCCAAAAUGCAUCACUGUAAACUCAUAAUGCCCGUACCAAGUCCAAAAAGCCAUUUUGGGAACAUCCUCGGUCCUCACCCUCAACUGGUGGUAACCUGACCGGAGAUCAAUAUUCGAAAAGACACAAGAUCCUUGCAGCUGAUCAAAUAGAUCAUCAAUGCGCGGUAAAGGAAACUUGUUCUUGAUGGUCACUUUAUUCAGCUCCCGAUAAUCUACACACAAUCUAAGUGAACCAUCCUUUUUCUUCACAAAUAACACCGACGCUCCCUAAGGCGAUACAUUGGAUCUCACAUACCCCUUAUCCAUCAGAUCCUGAAGUUGCGCCUUUAGCUCUCUCAGCUCUGCCGGUGCCAUCCAGUAAGGUGCCUUCGAGAUUGGUGCACUUUCAGGAACUAUAUCAAUCACAAACUCAAUCUCUCUAUCCGGCGGUAUAGUCGUCAACUCUGGAGGAAAAACAUCCGAAAACUCGCGGACUAUAGGGAUAUCCUCGAGUCCUGGGGCCGCCGUAAGCACCUCUACAACCGUCGCCAGAAAAGCAAUGCAUACUCUACUCAUCAGCUGUCGAGCCCUCGCUGACGAAAUCCAAGUGACAAACAACGUACUCCUGCAGCCUCUAAAAGUGAACUCCUCUUGGCCUGGCUCACGAAACGUCACCGUCAUCGCUCCACAAUCGAUCGUAGCAUAAUACCGUGCCAGCCAAUCCAUGCCAAGCACAACGUCAAAGUCCUACAACUGCCCUAAGAUGAACAGAUCUGUAGGCAUAAUCCAAGAGUCCAACUGCACCGGACACGACGAACAACACUCUACCACUGGCAAAAUAUUGGUCGGGAAUCUGCACCUCUCGUGCAUGCAACAAUGGCCCUAUCUCUAGACCAUCCAAUGAUGCAAAUGCUCGGCUAACAUAAGAAUGUGAUGCACCGAUAUCAAAUAAGGUACGAGCUCGAAUAUCAGAAAUUAAAAUGAUACCUGCCACCACCCGGUCGGCUGCUGUAGAGUCCUCCACCUGGGCUGCAUAAAUCCUGCCACUCAAAGCCUGCUGUCUUCGCUCGCCCUGCCGCGACACAGACGCUCUGUCAUCCUGACGGUAACUCGGUGGUGCUCCAUAACACUGCUGAGGUGCCUGCUGUGCUGACGCAAUCGAUGGUGUUGGUGAUGCUGCUCGGGGACACGUUGCUUUCAUAUGUCUAGACUGACCAUAAGUGAAACAACGGCCCUCCCUCUGCUCACACUGUCGGGGCCAGUGUGGUCCCCCACAAAUCACAUACUGUGGAGUCCCCCGAGAUUGUCCUUGCUGACGAGAUCCUCUGGAACGCUGACGCCCCGAAACCCACGACCUUGAGAGCGUGAUCGUGGAGGUCUCGGCGGAUGCCUGCUGCUCGACUGUCCUCCGUUAUCUGGAACCGGGUGCUUCCUAUCCUGACUCUGCCCCUAUACCUGAGUCCGCUCACGGAUCGAUACAUCACCUCUCUCCACCUAUAGAGCCUACUCAAUAGACGCAUCCAAGGUCCUCAACCUCUGCGCCCGUACUAACCGAAAGAUCUCUGGCCUCAAGCCUCCCUCAUACAAAUAUACCCGAUGAGCCUCAUCUCUGGCUACAAAUGGAACACAGUUCAGGAGCAGAGUAAACUCGUGGGUGUACUCUUGAACUGAUUGCUCUCCCUGCUGAAGCUUCUUCAAGUCCUCCUCGAGCUUUUGCUUCACGUUGUUUGGGAAAUACGCCCCGUACAGUAUUUCACAGAACUCAUCCCACUUCAUCUGCAAUGCUACCAGCCUUCGGUCUCGCCUCAUCCUCCUCCACAAAGAAUGCGCAUCGUGAGCCAAGCAGUAUACUCCUAAGUGUACCUGCUCCCUCUUUGGUAUAAACAGGUCCUCAAACGGUUUCUCCAUUGCGCUCACCAAGCCCUCUACAACCCAGGGCUCUAUGCAGCUACAGUCAAAGAUCGGCGGAUCAAAACGGCAGAAACGAGCAAGCCUCUCAGUCAUCCGCUCCUGCUCAGCCUCAGACAUCUGCGAUGCAUCUCCAGAAGAUGUGACUGGCGCCGUGGGAACUGUCACUGGUGGGGGUCCCGCUGUGGCUGGUGCAGCUUCAAAAGAAGGUGGAGUUUGUAUUGUAGCGUAAGUUAAUCUUUCAGUGAAUCGGUAGGAGUGAGAUUUUCAAUGGAAUGGAAUAAAUAUUAAUCCUUUCUGAUAUAGAAUCUACUGAAAAGGUUAGAUACAUAGUAUAUAUAGUCUUUUCCAAUGCGAUAUAGUCGAGGGUGGAGUUGACUGCUCUGGUACUCUCGGUGCUGUACUCUGCGACGGAGCUAAGGUCUCGCACAUACUCUGCAAUAAUGCCCCCUGCUGCCCGUUACCUCAGUCAGGGCAGCCAACUGCUCUCUCAGAUCCGGAGGUGCACUCGGCCUUGCCUGCUCAGGCAUCUCAGGUGGUGCGGCACGAUCCCGGGUUGGCGUUCGACCUCGGCGUCGGUACAUAGCUGUAUGAAAAAGACAUAAGGGUCAGAUACAAAACACAAACACUCUCGACCUAAUCAAAGCGAAAGUCUAGAAGACAGCCCCUGUUUCUCCUCAAAAUUAUGCCGUCUGCAGUCGGCAUAAUUUUUCUUGGUCGAAACAGACACUCCUUCAAUCACUCACUCCACUCUAGGAGGAGUAAAAACUAAUCAACUGCUGAUUUUCGCGAUAAAUCAGGCCUCUCGCGUCUUGCCUUCCUAAGGUUUGCCAAACUUAGGGUUCCUAGGUCCCAAUGACCUAAUGCUAAGCUCUGAUACCAAUUUAAUAUGUCAUGCCCCGGAUUACUCAUUUUUUCGGGCACGCAACAAAUCCGCCGUAUACAAAGAAAUUUUUUCUGUAUACGAAGCGAUAGCUGUACCUGUACCUGUAAACAUACAAUACUACAACCAGUAGUAUAGAGCUGCUAAACAGAAAAACAUAUAUAAAUAACAUCAGUUCAACAUGCAUACAUAGUCUCCAAAUACAAAAACACUCGCACCAGCAAGGAUCUAAUAACAGUCUGUAUAAUAACCCAAAAAUCAACACCACCUGAAGCUGGUAACGAUCCAUAUCAGCAACAGCAGCAGCCGAAGAAGAAGGCUCUGUAAAAAGGGUCAACAACUGGGUGUGAGAACUACUGCAAAAAGAAGUAGUUCUCAGUGGGUACUGCUACCGACCUCAACGGCUCACCCACUAAGUCUACAGAAGUAUGCUCAAGGAUAGUAAAGAAAGCUAGAACAAUUCUACAGCUAUAUGCCACUAUACUAUCACGAUCCAACUCUAAUUAUCUGUAGGUAAUGUAAUCUCUGACCCAAUCUCACUAGGGACUGUAAACACACCCGUCCCGCCUGCCAAAACUACACUAACUAUCACCACGUUGGGUCGUCAAUGGAGAGCAAGUCCAACCAGGACAACCGACAACAACGCAAAAUCACAAAGUCCGACUCCUGAGUGGCAUUCGUGGGCGCUACCCAACCAAGCAUGCAAGCGUAUCUCUACCGAGCUCAAUCAGGCUCUCACAGACUAUAAUCAAAAUAGAAGGGUCUAACAACCAUAAUAAACAUGUCCUCGGCACAAUCUGAUGCAAAAACUGCAAUCUAGGUCCACCGUCAACCACAACGGCACCCGACAGUCCGGAACAGUCUAUACACUAUUGUAAAAAUAAGCUCGGUAUCCCAGUAUGAGCGUAAAUUCAUUCUACACUAUUCUGGACAUCCACCGUCUACAAACUGCGGCGAUACAAACAAGCUACAGCUCCUAAAGCUAAAUCUGGUAGUUUUCAGAACAUGACAGUGUAGAACCUAUGAUUUUCUCCUAAGUCAAUUUUAAGUCCAACAUUUAUAAUAAAACUAACAUUUUAAGUUCAAAUUCAGAUUUUAUUUAAGAAUAAUGCACAUCUAUGAAUCGAGCUACUAACAUGAUAUAUGAAGCUAAAAACACAUACUGAGAACAUCUAGGCUUAGAAGGAAAUCCGAAGAUUUCGAUAGCUUAACAUCAACUCACCUCUAGCGAGAGCCCGACAAGGCUAGAAAUCGCUGGAAAGCCCUGCCAAGAUCAGCCUCGAAUCAGCAACAACCUUCUCUAAGGAUCUAACACAAGAACACCAAAGUUUCUAUCAAUACACCCAAAUUCAGCACUUAAGCUUAAUUCCUUCAAAACCUUAAUGUCAAACUCACAUUCCAAUCCACAAUUCAGGUGAAGAAAAAUCUCAAAACCAGUGGAGAAUGAUGGAGUAACACUCUCUGGUCGAAAAUCGAGCUUCCUCCAAGAUUUGAUCCAAAAAAACCAUAAAAAUUCCAAAAUCAGCCCAAGUACACCAGCAGCUCAGAAAAAUAUCAAAUCGAUCAAACAAACCUCAAUCAAUUGCUGUUAAAUUAGCUCCACGAAAUCUCCAAGAAGUCUACAAUCCACCAAACUAAGUUUCGCAGCAAUCCGAUAUUCCUACGUCGCACACCAGCCAAAACGCCAAACACGAGCCAAAACGCCGUAGGCCGCUGCUGAAAUUCUGCUGGAAUUGCAGUCCUCAAGGUGAAUUUGUAUAAUUUGGAGAGUUUGGAGGGGCUUAAUUGCAAAAUAUGAGAUUCUCUAUAAAAGAGGGUGAAAAACCAUCUUAAGGGGUCGUUCCCAUGCUUUUAUAGAGAGGUGGACGGAUGCAAUAAGCCUCAAGAACAAAAUUACAAACAUGCUGUCCCUGCAGAGGUCUGCACUUUCGGGUGCCCGAAACCCACAAUUGGGCAUCCGGAACUCCCAGGCAAUACAAAACUCCUUUGGUUCCUCUGCUUGCGGUAUGAUGUGCCCUUAACAUGGUCCGGCGGACCUCACCUAUCACCUUACACGUGUCAAAGCAAACGUUAAUUAUAAGGUGAACAUUCAGGUCCAUAUCCGGGCGCCUGAAAGUAGGAUACGAACUGGCUUCCAGUUCCAGUUCAGUUCAGCACUCAAGAUCUGGCGACCCAAACUAUAUUCUGGGCGCCCGAAACUGGUAAAACUCCAGUUUUGCUUAUUUGAGUGCGCCAAGUUCGUUUCUUCAUCCAUUUUGUGUAAAAACGACUUCGAUUUAGUUCAACACUUUCCAGAUGUGUCAACCAGUCGCUAAAACUGUAGCCAAUCUGAUACCAAACCCUCGGGACACUACAGAAUUUAUAAAAAAAAUAAAAUGAAAAAAUUAAUUGGAGUGAAAGUACUAUCUUUGGUAUUUUUGACGGUAACGUUUUCAUUGUGUCAUCAUUAACUUUCAUCGUUACACAUACAACUAAUAAAGUAUUUGGUUCCUAAAUUUUAAAUUAGUGAAGAAAUCAGUAGAUAAUUAUCAGAAACACAAAAAAUAAGACUAAUCAAAAGACAUUAGAAAUUAAAAUAAAUAUUUUUUACACUGUAAAAAAAAUUCAACUAUCAAAUAUUAUAUUAUUAUAUAAAUUAAUUUAUAAAAAAAUUAUUUGGGGACUAAAGUAAAAAAAUACAAAGUUAAGAGAUUAUGAACCAAAAUAAAAAAGAGUGAAAAAAUCGGGACUCAAUUAUAAUUAAUUUUUUAAAAAAAUAUGUGAAUCUCACUGAAUAAAUUAGUGUACGAGAGAGAGAGAGAGAGAGAGAGAGAGAGAGAGAGAGAGAGAGAGAGAGAGAAAGAUUGAUUGGGAGAGAAUAAAUAAAAAAAAAGGUGGCCCCACAGAGCCCCGGGGAGGUCUUCUAAAGGCUGCCAAUUCAUAUAUUUAAAAUAAAUUAUAAAUAAAUAUAUUUAAAGAAAAAAACAUAAAAGACUUUUCUCUAACCUGUGAUGGGGUAGACUGUUCGAAGAGGGGGUGUACCGGGGGGCUUUUUUCGAAAAUAACUCUGUAAAAUUUCGUAUUUGUCAAACUAAUCCUGUGAAACUUUUAUUUGUGAAACUAACCCUACUCUCGUCACGUGGGGUCAGGGGUUUCUAAAAAAGACGGUGAAUGAUUCAUCGUCUUUGUAAUUUUUGUUGUAAAAGCGGUGAAUGGUUUACCGCUUUUAGAAGGUUGGUAAACCAUUCACCGUCUUUAGUGCAAAAUUUUUCUUUUCGUCCUUUUCCCUUUCCGCCCUCUCAAGUCCGUCGUUUUUGUGCCCUCGAGAAGACGGGAAACGAUUCACCGUCUUAUCAAGGACACUAUAUUAUGGACUUGAAAAGAUUUGCACAGAGUAGGAAUUUGUACUAAAGACGGUGAAUGGUUCACCGCCUUAUGAAGACGGUGAACCAUUCACCGCCUUCACAACAAAUAUCAAAGACGGUGAACGAUUCAUCGUUUUUUUAAGGAAUUCCUGACGUUGUGCCCACGUGGCGAGAGGAUGGUUAGUUUUACAAAUAAAAAUUUCACAGAAUUAAUUUGGCAAAUACGAAAUUUUACAGGAUUAUUUUCGACAAAAGUCCUGUACCGGGCUGGCGCAGGCAAGGGCAAAUCCGAAGGAGGCCCUCAGCCCACAUCCUCCCUCCUCCCUCCUCCCUCCUCCCCUCCGUGCUUUUGAAUAUUGACUCUCUCCACAUCACCUCUAAAUUAAUUAACUUUGUUGUGUCACCACCCUCCAACCCCACCACCACCACCACCACCACCACCUUCUUCUUCUUCGUACGUACGUACGUACGUAUACGUACGCUGCAGCAAAAAUGAUGGCCUCUACACAUUCCGCAUGCGAGUCGUCCCUUUACAGGAACUGCUACGACUUUUUAUCGAUAUUUUGGAUAGCAUGUUACCAGAACUAGCUAGCUAGUACUAAGUUUCCUCCGUUCUAAAAUGCUACAGAUUCAAUUCUAAUAUUUGUCCUCGACAGAGAUAGAAAAGACUUUUUUGAUCUGAAAAAAUAUAAUAAUAAUUCUCACAUCUAUCGUAUAUGUCGUAUGAUUCACUUGAUAUUAAUCAUGAGCCUCACAUAAUUUUUUUGGGUCAUAAACGUGCCUGAAUGUUAUCUAUUUUAUUAGUUAUCAAAUGUCCAAAACAAGUAUCAUAUUCGUGUUGGAGAAAAAUUCAAAAUCCUCUAUUUUUACUUAUUAAUCCUAAUUUAUUUUUAUUGUUAACGUCCUUUAAAACGGACGUCCGCUCCGGGCGCGGACGUUGCGCACGUACGCGCUCCAUGCGCUGACUUCUAGUCGCGCAUGAAUUCUAGGGCGGUUUUGAAAUUUUCUAAUUANAAAUCAUAUCCUUGGCUUUAUUUGCUUUUUCCUGUAUUAGAAUUUGCUGUUUUCCUUUUGUGAUUUUUGUUGCAAAAUAUUUUCUUUUUGGAUCUAUCUUGUCUUCUCCUCAUCAUAUUAUGUAGUUAUAUCCAAGAACGAAGCCAGGAUUUAAGAUUUGGGGUGGCCAAAGUUUAUAUUUAAUAAAAAAUUUCAACCUCGGAAAGAAAAAUAAUUAGGCAGAUUCACUGAUCACUUAUUAUUGUUAGCAACAGUAGUAAUAAUAUGCGCAAAAAAAAAAAAAAAAAAAAAAACUGUAAGAACUCAAGAAAAAGAGUCAAAGAAUUUGAAUAGAACAUAAAUUUUAUUUUUUCAAAAAUAAUUUAGCCCUUAAAAUUAAAGUUUAUAAUAUUUUAAUUUUUAUUAUAAAUAGUUUUUAUAUAAUUUUUAAAAAUUCAGGAGGACCAUGGUCACUAUGGCCCCCUUAAUGGUUUCGUCCUUGGUUAUACCACUUGACUCUUUGUAAUAAGUUAAUAACAUCUCAUUACAUUGGUCUAUUUUGUGCUUAAUUUCUUUUUUAAAAAAAACUAUUUUUCUUAGUUCAACAAAUUACAUACAUAAUAAAAUUAUAGUUUUAAAAAAUUUUAAUUUCCUAUCUAAUGUAAUAGCAAAUUAUAUCAAUAAAAAUAAAAAUAAAAUUAUAGAAUAAUUAAGUAUAACAUUUUAUAUCACAGCAUUAGAAAGCGAAAAUAAGCUAAACCACAUACGGUAAAAUUGAAUCUUAUUUUUAUUUUAUUUUUACCUAUUGUUCUGCCCUCCUAACAAAAAAAAAAUGAUGAGCAUAAGUAUAAAACGGUUCAGAACCUAACCUUCAAAGCAAAGGCUUUGGAAUACGAUAAAAAAUAAAUUAUUAAAAUAAUCUAAAUUAGCGAUGAUUGGUUCGAAGUUGGAAUCGGUAUCGGAAUCGGAAUGAAAAUAAGCUAAAAAUAGAAUCAAAAUGAUUCAUUAUCUCAUUCUGUUUAGUUCGCCACGUAAAUCGAAAUCGAAGUAAAUCAUUUCUAUUGUUGGUGUUUGGUUCAUAUAGAUAUCAGAAACGUAAUUAAAUUAAAUUUUAAGUAAAAUUUGAAUAAGAUUUAAGAUUUAAAUUUAAAUUCAAAUUCAAAUUUAUAAAUUAGAUUCGAAAUGUUUUAUUGAAUUUUAAUUUUUAAUUUAAGUUCAAAUUAAAAUUAAAAUUUAUAAAUAUAAUUUUUUAAUUUAAACUUAUGUUUUAAAUACAAAAUAAAUUUUAAAAAAUUAAAUUUAAUUCGAACAAAUUCAUUCCGUCCGAAUUCAAUAUCCAAUCCGGCCUCCUAGAGCUGAUUGGAAAAGGAGCAAUUGGGGGAAUUUCCAUUCACCCGAUGAUGCAAACCGAGAGGUUGCCAAAAUUGAAUUUUCAAGUUUACUUUUGUUUAAAGGUAAAACUAGGUUCAAUUUAUCAAUUUCGAUGAACUUUAAGCAAGGAAGCAAAAAUUUCAGCAAGACAAAUUAGAAUCGAAUCGAAGUAAUACUAAGAUGAUGAUAAACCUUCAAUAUAUGAGAUAAUAACAACCAACUGAAAAUACAUAUACUAGUUCCAAAAGGUAAAUUCGGCUUUAUCGGACUUAAAGCUUUAGGUUUGGUUGUUUGGCAAAUAUGGUUGGUAAUGGUGGAAGGCUAGAUUAAAAGGGGAUAAUAGGAUAUCAAGAGAUAGGAGAUACAAAAAGUGCACCGUUCACACGAUUGCGGGGGAUCCACGAUCGACGAGGAGGGCGGUACACCACGGGUAGAACUUCGGCAACGGGGAAGAAGACGAUGAGGCAGUGACUCGGAAGAAGAGGAGGGGUAGAAGUAGAAGCCGAUCUUGCCACGAGGAAGAAGUGACAACAAUCAAGUUGAGGAAGAAGACGAUCUCGGCGCGAGGAAGAAGCGUCGAUGAUCACACCGGAAAGUAGAACACCAAGGAUAAAGAGUGAGAGUAGAAUUUUCUAUUCAUCAAAUAUAUCCCCUUAAGGUCUCAAGAACCAUGUAUUUAUAGUGUUGAGAGUCCUAUGAUAAUAAAUUAUUGCCUUUUCGUUUUCAACACAACACGGUCACCCAAGAGUCAUGCAUUGAAAACGAAGCAAAUUUGGGAAUUUCAAAGGUCUUUGUUUUUGGGGAAUUCCAAAGGUCUUCUUGGGAUUGUUUUUUUUUGUUUAUGGGAGAAAAGGGUUUGGGUUAGCCAAAUCAACUAAAACCAAAUGGUUUAAGUCCGAAUCAAACACGAACCUACAAAAUAAAAGAAAAUUGCAUUUGAAAAUAAAAAGAGAUUUAUUUGCUGCAUCACCCGACAAUCGAAAUUGGAUUGGAAAUACCGCAUACCAAACACGGACAAACGAAUUUAUCCAUUUCGAUUCUAGGUGAAAAAAGAAACGAACCAAACACUCCGUUAGUAUAUUCUAAAGUAGAAAAAAAAAUAGAAUUUAUCAUUUAUACUGCUGAUGUGACGUGCUCAACUAAUUAAAUUAUUUUUCGUUAAUUUAUCCAACCAACCAUGAUUAUUAAAAAUUUUUUUUAUUAUAUUUUUAUCGCAAAAUAAAAAAAAAAAUAACUUACUGAUUAUUGAUAAUGUGGUAUAAAUUUUAUACAGUAAACUUCCUCCAAAAGUAGGCCAGACCCAAAAAUCCAUACAAUGUUGGAUAUGAACACUCCUUCAGAACUCUUUGUUAUCAUUAUUUUUUGUUUAAAAGAAAAAACUUUAAUUAGUGUGGCUUAGUACAAGUUUAGUUUGUUAUUCUCUAUUCAAUAUAUUUUACCUUGUAAUCCAAUAGCUUAAUAUUUACAUCGUCGUAAGGUCCUACAGUCAACUAGGGUAUUGAAAAGUUAAAAUUUAGUCCUACACAAGUAAAAUAAUAUAUUUAACAAAUUACAAAAUACUUUUGUAAAAAAUAUAAGCUAAUAAAAUAAAACAGUUUGUCAUCUGUGGUUCGCUAUAUUUUUAUUAACCUGUAAUUUAUAAAUUUUAGAUAUAAAUAAAAAAUCACAUGAUAGUAAAGUGAAACUGACUAAAUUAUAAAUUAAUAAAGUGAAAAGAUAAUAAACUGUAAUUUGCAAAUUAAAAUUUCCUUUUUCUCCGCAUAAUUAUAUUUUAUAGGUGUAAAUAUUGUACCAAAACUUCUAACAUGUCAAGAUCUAGAAAUUUUUAAAUUCUUGAAUUAUGAGGAAUUAUGGAUGUAUGAGAUAUAUAUAAUAUAAUAUAGUGUACAUGUUUUUAUUUUUAUUUCCUAUUAUUAUUAUUAUUAUUAUUAUUAUUUUUUUUUUUUUUNAUUUAACCAUAGUUAAUUAAUGAGGUGAAUUGAUCUUUUUACUCAUCUUCAAUUAACAGUUGGAACUUUUCAAACGACAUAUUUGUAAUAGCAAACACGUCAUUUCACUUAUAAAAUAAACAGUUCUUUAACGGUAACAAACUAGAUAGAUAUAUUUGAAAAUAUUAGAAUUUUUGUAGAGACAAUAUAUGAAAGUUGAACUUUGUAGAGAUAUAUAUUUACACUUCGCUAUGGUUACAGGAACUUGUAUGAAAUUAACCUUUAAAUAUAUCUGUAAAAAUAAACGACGCAUUAAAAUUUUAAAGUCAAAAAUAUUAUUGGCUGAUUAAAAUUAAAUAAAUUAAUUAAAAAAAUUCAAUAGUAUAAUUAAAAUUUUAAAAAAUUAAAUAUUUAACUCAAAAUAGUUUAUAGUUUAUAUUUCGGACAAGCUCAAUACAUUUUUUACCAAGUUUAAAACAAACAUUUAUAAUCUAGCAUGUGAUUCACCCUUUGUUGUUGGAUUAUUAUAGAGAAGACUUGAGUUUUUUUAUGAAUGUUUGUUUUAAACUUGGUAAAAAAUGUAUUGAGCUUGUCCGAAAUAUAAACUAUAAACUAUUUUGAGUUAAAUAUUUAAUUUUUUAAAAUUUUAAUUAUACUAUUGAAUUUUUUUAAUUAAUUUAUUUAAUUUUAAUCAGCCAAUAAUAUUUUUGACUUUAAAAUUUUAAUGCGUCGUUUAUUUUUACAGAUAUAUUUAAAGGUUAAUUUCAUACAAGUUCCUGUAACCAUAGCGAAGUGUAAAUAUAUAUCUCUACAAAGUUCAACUUUCAUAUAUUGUCCCUAUAAAAAUCCUAAUAUUUUCAAAUAUAUCUCUCUAGUUUGUUACCGUUAAAGAACUGUUUAUUUUAUAAGUGAAAUGACGUGUUUGCUAUUACAAGUAUGUCGUUUGAAAAGUUCCAACUGUUAAUUGAAGAUGAGUAAAAAGAUCAAUUCACCUCAUUAAUUAACUAUGGUUAAAUAUUUUACCUAUAUUUAACUAAUUUUUUCUAACGGAUCCUAACGGCAGGUUUAUAUUUGAAAAUAUCAUGACUUUUGUGAGGACAACAUAUGAAAUUUUUAACUUUGUAGGGAUAUAUUAUUGCCAUUCACUAUGUUUGUAGGGAUCGAUAUAAAAUUAACCCUAUAUUUAAUAUACUUCAUGCUAUUUUUGCUAUUAUAAAUUUUUAAAGUAAUGAGUCUAAAUUUUCAAGUCAAAGCACUUAAUCAAACAAUUGAAAGAUUUAGUUAAAUUAAAAUUUUAAAAUGUUGGAUAGUGGACUCAAAAUUGUCCUUAGUUGAAAUAAUUUCUGUCUGUUUUUACCUCUGGAUUAUGUAGAAAUUUAAUUUUUCAAAAUCCGAUUUGAACUUGUCCCUAGUUUGAAUAAUUCUACUUACCAUUAAGAGCAAGAUCGGUACUUUCAAUUUAAAAUUUAAAUUAUUAUUUUUUAUAUAAUUUUUAUUUUAAGCUGUUCCUUUUGAGUCUUCCCGUUCAGUAGGCAAAUAAAACAAAAAAAACUAUGAAAUUUUAUUUCUAGAUAGCUUUAAUACAGAUCAUACCUAAUGAAAUAAAUGGCAGAGCCUAGUUCUCUCUCUAUAUUUUUCAGUAGAGAAAACUAUAAAAUUUUAUUUCUAGAUAGCUUUAAUACACUAGGCUCUGUUUCAUUAUGGAAAAUAACUUAUAAAUACAAAGACUCUUGUGCUUUUGAAAAUACAGAGCCUAGUUCUCUCUCUAUAUUUUUUCACCGUAUAUAAUAAUACAUUGCUAAACUAAUAUUCAGAGUUUCUUGGGGACACAGCAAUGGACAUGAUUUAGAUAAUCGAUCUUAUCUGAGGGAGGUCCCCCUUUCGAAAUUGUCAACGCGAGGAGAGAAAUUGUGAUUAUAACGAUCCGACCCAUUAGUAAUAAUAACUUAUUAGGUUCAAACUAUCGGUUUAAAAUAUUUAAAUUCAGUUAUUAUUAUUAGCUUGUGAGAUCUCAUACAUUCUAAGUAUAAUUAUUUUUUAAUCCGAUAUAAAAUUAUUGGAGCAUAACAGAAAUACAUCAAACUCGGCCGAGAGUAUAAAGUUUGGGUGUGAUUUAAUUAAGUGCAAGCCCAGUCAGACGUGACGAACGGGGACAGAGAUGCGGACGGAUUAGCUUCCUCUCUUGCUUGCUUCUUACAUAAGCGAGUUUUUAUUUAUUUAACUCGAGAUAAAAUUAUCCGGAAUUUCUUUGAAAGGAUUUCUUUUUUGUUUCUUAAUUUUCACAAGCAUUCAGAAAAUAUUUGUUUCAUCGAAACUGAACUUUGGGUUGAAAUAGACUUCAGUGAAAACUAUUUUUUCCAUGCUAUUUAUUUCAUAACUAUAAAAGUAAAGUUUUUUCAGUUCUAAUAUUUGUUUAGCAAAAAGUGAAUGAUGUAAAAUUAUAAUUUAUGUAUAAAUAAUAAAUAACUUAAUAAAUAAUAAAUUUUUAUAUAAUAAAUGAAAAUAAUAUACUUAUAUUUCUAUAUAAUUAAAAAUUUUAAUAUAAAAUAACUAAAUUAUUUUUUUUAUAUAUAACUUAUAAUAAAACAACAAUAAAAUUAGAAAAUAAAAAAAUAUAAAUACUUAACUAAUCAAUUUUCAUUAUAUUUAUACUAAAUCUUAACUAAUCAAAUUUUAUCACAAACUAAAUUAAAAAAAGUAAUUAGUGACAUAAUUAAAUAUAUUUAACUAUAACUAGCAUUAUUCAUUAUAUUAUUUUAUUAUUUUUUUUUCUUCAUUUUUUUUUACCGUAAUUGACUUCAAUUCGGGAUGGGCCGAAGUCAAUUAUGCUAUUUCAGGUAACUCGAAUUUCAGCGUAUCUUUAUUACAGUGAAACAAACAGUAAAAGUGAUCAGCUGUAAAAGAUUUCUCCCCUCUUCAUUUUCACACAAAUAAACAGAAAGGUUGUAACUACUUUUCUCCUGUCAAAAGGGCCUUGUUGUUUUACCAAAAAUAGACUAGGGACGAAUUUAUUUACAAGAAUAAAUACGUGAUUUUAUUGUUCGGUUUAGCUACUGCGGCUUUAUUUUUCUAAAAUGCUGUGAUUAACUUCAUCCUGAAUGGUGGCGAAGUCAAUUAUGAAAAUAAUAAUAAUAAAUUUACUGCUAUAUUUACAUAUUAGUGUGAAUUUUUUAAAUAUAACAAGUGAAAAAUGUGAUAGCUAUAUUGUUAAAGUUAUUGAUUUUUUAUCAAACAAACAAAUAGUAAUUAAAAUAAUGGGUUAUUUGCAUACACGUCUCUGCAAACAUAGUGAAUUACAGAUAUAUCCCUGCAAAACGAAAAUUUCAUAAAUUGUCCCUACAAAAGUCUUAAGUUAUGCAGAUAUGUCCCUACCGUUAAGGUCUGUUAAAAAAAUUUCGUUAACCACAGUUAAAAACUUAACCAUGGUUAAUUAAUAAGGUAAAUUGACGGUUUUACCCUUGUUCCUCUUCCUCCUCUUCCUCUUCAAUUUUCUUCCUCGCCGGCGGUGGCGGCGACGGCGACGGCGGCAUCGGCGGCGGCCCUCUCCCUCUUCCUCUUCCUCUUCUCUCUUCCUCUUCCCCGUUCUUCUUCCUCUCAUUCUUCCUCUUCCCUUUUCUUCGUCGCUGGCGAGGGAGAAGAUGCGGCGGCGACGGCGGCGACGAACCCUCUCCCUCUUCCCUCUUCCUCUUUGCCUUUUUUCUUCCUCUCCCUCUUCCUCUUCCUCUUCUUCGUCGCCGGCGAGAGAGGAGAUGCGGCGGCGGCGGCGGUGAAAGCAAACCCUCUCGCUCUUCCUCUUCCUCUUCCCUCUUCUUCUCCCUCUUCCUCUCCUUUCUUCCUCUCCUUCUUUCUCUUCCAUCUUCUUCGUUGCCGGCGAACCCAACCCCGCGCCGCCGCUGCUGCCGUCCACUCCGGUGGCCCAAAGAGGGAGAGAAAGGAAAGGGAAAGAGAAAUAUUUUGGAGGGAUAUAUUUGUGAGGGUAAAAAAGUCAUUUCACAAGAAAACUGUUAAAAAAUUAACAGUUUCCUAACAGAUUUCAACCAGAGGGACAUAUCUGCAUAAUUUAGGACUUUUGCAGGGACAACUUAUGGAAUUUUCGUUUUGCAGGGAUAUUUCUGCAAUUCACUAUGUUUGCAGGGAUGUGUAUGCAAAUAACCCUAAAAUAAUAUUUAGGCCCUAUUAGGAUGAGCAGUAAAUAAAUUCCAUGGAGUUUAAAUACCGUAGUUUUGGUCCAAAUAAAAUGGAGUAUCUUGUAACUCCAAAAAAAUUCAACGGGUUUAUUUUAAGAGCUGUUUGGAUACACACUAUAGAAUUCUACAGGAUUUCUGAUAAUCUUUAAAAAUUUAGCUAUUAAAUGACUUUAAAAACUAAAAAUUUAAAAUAAAAGUUUAAAAUUUAAUUUUAAAUUAUUAACUAUUAAAUAAUUUUAAAAUUUAAAAUUUAAAAAUUAAAAUUUGAAAAAUUAGCUGUUGGAAAGUUUUAUCUCUAGCUGUUGGAGAAUUAAAAAAUCCAAUUACUAGCUGUUAGAGAGCUUGAAAAUAAAAAAAAACUAGCCGUUGGAGAGCUCAAAAAUAAAAAACUAGCCGUUAGUGUAACGUAUCGAAACUCGAUAGAAAAUAUUGAACUUUAGCCAAAUUGACUAAAGUGCGCGAAAGGAAUAAUUGGACAAGUUUCAAUUAUUGUUCCAACAAUGUUGGAAGAGUUAAAAGUGAGUUUUAGAAGGGUUAGAAGGAUUUUAGUAUUGACCGGUGCGAAAUAGAAUCGAAAACGAUGCAAAUUUAAAGUCUGGGCAAAGUGUACCGGUACAACAUUGAUGUUGUACCAGUACAACACUGCAACCCGAGAGGAAUUGCUCUCGGGUUUGCCUCUGUGCAAUCGUGUUACCGGUGACACCCAUGAUGUGUACCGGUACACUUCGGCAAAAUCCGAACAGCAGCUCUCGGGUUUGCUCUCCGCGUAAUUGUGUUACCGGUGACAAGAACCCGUGUACCGGUACACUUUGGUAUGGCAGCAACAAUGAAAUCUGUUGCAAAUAGAAAGAAGUGGAGGGUUUUUUUUGUAAUUGUUACAACAUGUUAAUACCCUAAACACCCUCCCUUCUCUCUUUCACAGCCUACACCUCACUCCCUCUCAUUUCUCUCUUUUUCUCUCUAGAAAUCUCUCCAAGGAGUAAGGAGGAGUAGGAGGAGAAGGAUUUUUGGAGGGUUUUGGAGCUUGGAGAAGAUCUAGAACUCUCCAAUAACGCCCUAAAAAGGGGUCUUUUCCCUGUGAACCCCUUAUUUUUCUUGCAAUUUUCUGUAUUUUCUAGGAGUAGUCUACUUAUAAUUCUUUCUUUCCGCACUUACUGUUUUUCCUAGGAGUAGUUCUUUAAGUAAAUCAACCGAGUCUGCAUGCCAUUCGGCACACUUAACCCCUAUACUUCUUACCAGUUAAUAUAAAGGUAUUCGACUCUUCAAGCCGACCAGUUCUUGUGUUCCUUAGUCAUUCGGCUCCUCGGCUGACUUCAGUUCUUACUUUGUUCGUAUAUUCGGCUCAUCCAGCCGAACCGAAUUUAGUGUAGAGUUUUCAAACCCGGCUGAUCCGAUCCCUCAUCAGUCGAAUCGCUUGAUCGAUCAAAGGACGCAAACUUCGAGGGUCACCAACAAGCCGUUUCCAUCCCGACACGCUCCUCGAGAAGGAUCGUCGACAAGGACGAGGGUUUGGGGAAUCGACAACCACCAAUUUUUUGGCAACGCCCAGCGGGACACAUUUAAGGUAAUUUUUAUUAUUUAUUAAUAUAAUGGUUGAUGAUAAUGCCAUAAAUCUACGUAAUAGGGCCGUUCCUAGAAGUUCUGGGAGCGAACAGCCCAGCAAUUCAGAAAAUAUUGCCGAACACCAAGCGGUUUUGCCGGCUGAGGGUGAGACUAGCGGCCAAUCUGGCUAGCAAGAGCCUAGUUUGGCUCAUGCGCUUGGGCAAAUGACUCGAGUCUUACAGGUUUUGGACCAAAAUAGCCAUACUAGCACUGCACGACUAGAUGCAGUGUUGGCCGCAAUUACGGCCUCUAACGAGAAUAUUGCCCGAAUAGGGUAAUUAUUAACUCGAAAUGAGCAGACGAUAGCAGGCUUACAAGCGCCUGUAAUGACACCAGUGUUACAAAAUCCUGUAACACUGGUAAACAGUCAAUUAUAGAAUAGGGUAAUUAUUAUACCAGGGGGUACCGUUUUAGGGAGUUUAUAGACCGGCAGUUGUCAACGCCAGCCAACAACCAGAGAUAGCAUGGGGGUUACCGCCUCCUCCACCAGUGGCAGCAUACCAGCCCCAAAAUGUAGGGGCUAGGGGGCAGGCUCUGAAUGUACAAGGAAUUAACCCUGUGGUACAAAAUUUCGAUCUACCACAAGGACCGAAUCAAGCACAAGCGCAAGUCCCCUUACAAGGGAUUAAUAAUGAAAUAUAUGCACAGAUUUUGGAAGCCAUCCGAAAUACUUUCGGAGUAGGCGCAAGGCCGGCAAUGCGGCCUGUAUUUAGAUUACCUUACCCUGCGAAUAUAGACACAGAACAUUCAUACUCGGCAAAUUGAAAAAUGCCGAAGUUUGAUAAGUUUUCUGGCGAUGAGACCGAAAAUACGGUCGAACAUGUCGCACGGUUUACAGCUCAGUGCCGUGAAGCCGCGGCAAAUCCAUUUUUAAAAUUAAGAUUAUUCAAUACCUCGUUGACCAAAACAGCUUUCACUUGGUAUACAAGUUUGCCAGCGAAUUCUGUCCGAGAUUGGGACGAAAUAGAAGGUAAAUUUCAUGAACAAUUUUAUAGAACAGAACCGGAAUUAUCCGUUGCUAAUUUAGCCCAGUUCAAAUAGAGAACAGGCGAAUUGGUUGAGGAGUAUUUGAAUAGGUUUAAGACGGCUAGAAGCCGUUGUUUUGUGAGAAUGCCAGAGUUGGAAUUUGCCAAAAUGGCAUUUAAUGGUUUGCACUUUAAAAUUAAAGAUUAUUUUGAAGAUAAGUACUUUCCAAAUCUUUUCGAUUUGGGAGUUCGGGUUGUUCAAUAUGAGCAAUUUCGAAAAAGAAAUAAUGAGGAUCGGCCGAGGUGGAGCCGAAAUAAAGAUUGGAACAAAGGAAAGGAGAAAAAUAUCUCUUUCCUUGAAGAGUCUUCGGCUCAUAAGGAGCCGAAUUCGUCUGAAGAGGCUGAAGAUUCGACUGAUGAAGCCGAAAUAUAUGCAGCCGAGAUUGUGAAAAACCAACAGCCAUAUAAAUAUGCUUUGCUGAAGCCCGCUAAAUCAAGCGAGGCAAAAGCACGUGUUUCAGCAUACACAUAUUCGUUUGAUGUAUCAACGACCGAUCUAAUUUUUGAUCGGUUGCUGAAAGAUGGUCGAAUCCAACUACAGGAAGGUCAAACUAUACCUCCUAUAGAAGAAUUGAAAAGAAGAAGAUACUGCAAAUGGCAUCAUUCGUGGAGCCAUAAAACAAAUGAGUGUACUGCCUUUAAGAGGCAGAUACAAAAAGAAAUAAAUGAGGGUCGGCUCAUAUUUGCUGACCAAGAAAACAAAAAAUAUGAAAAUUGAUAAGAAUCCUUUUCCAUCACGGGUCAAUAUGGUAGGAAAAGGAAAAGCGGCUGCAAAAAGGAAAAUCCGAGAAGAAAUAGAGGAAGGUCGACUCAUAUUUGCGGACCAAGAAAACAAAGCUAUGAAAAUUGACAAGAAUACAUUUCUUUCACAGGUAAAUAUGGUGGAUAUCAAAGAAAAGGCGGUUGCAGACAAGAAGAUUGCUGAGAACAUUGCUUUCGUUAAGAGGACGCUUCGGCUUUGCAUACGAUGCAAAGCCGAAAUGACAAAGAAGGAUUGGGAAGUCAUCAUCAAUGACAAGAAAAGAAGCAACGAAUGGAGAGAGUUGGUGGCUUUUCCCGAAGAAUGGGAUGAGAUUCCCGAAGGUGAAGACAAAUCUGAGGAUGGCUUAGACGAAGCCUCCAACGAGUCCGAACCGGAAGUUGAUUCGGUUCAAAAUAAGAAAGAUCUAUUGAUGCAGAAAGUUUUGCAUGACUACUAUAACAACUGGAGAGAGGAGCAUCAUAGCCGAUGGAGUUAUCCAGAAAAACCAUUCGGCUCAAAGCAGAGAUUUCCUGGGUACCGGCCGCACUGGCAGCAUCAAGCUAGGCCGAGACCAGAACCGGAGUUUGAAGGGAUGACCGAGGGAGAUAUAGAAUUCCUUGGUCGAAGAUUGGUCAAUGAGCUCGGCAUACAGCCGUGGCUGAGACCUUGGGAAAGAAGGAAGAUUUUAAAAAAUCAUUUGAGAACGGUGAAAGUACCAGCAAAUGUGCCGAUAGACAAGUGGCACGAAGUCGAAGUAAAACCAUCGGCCAAAUGGCAAGGGCCGAUGUUAACGAAGACACAAAAACGUCGACAGCAGAGGAUGCAAGCCGAGGCGAGACAACAUUAUGAGAAGGCAAAAGGGAUGAGGCUGAACGUAUGGAGACGACCUAACAAGCCACCACACCUUUUUCGCCCGAUGCGAAAUGAUCAUGAGGCGGGUAGUUCGUCACCCGUUCAUUGGUUAUAGUCGAAGAUAGAACGGCUGGUCACGGCCGAACCAGAGGAGAAGAUGACUAGGAAGGAGCUAGAGGACAAAAUAGCCUCCCUCGAAACAAUCAUCAAGAGAGAGAGAUGGCCUCCUAAGGAGAGGGAGGCACGGAUGGAGAGUGAUUCCUCGGCCGAGACGGCUAAGCAAUCUGAAGAAAAGAAACAGAGGAUUCAAGAGAAAUCGGCUGACGAAGGACUAGCCGAUGUCAACAUGGUGUAUACUCUGCCGCAGUCUUUUAAUGCGGAGUAUGUUGAGUACAAUGAGGAGAUGGCAGAUGAAGAAGUUGGGCUUACGGUGGCCCAAUUGCAACUAAAAGAUGUUAAACCGGCCGAUGCGGUGGGUUUUUGAGAAACCAUCGGCCGUUCAGACGAGAUUUGUAAGGCCUUUGUUUAUUCAGACCUUAAUAGAAGGUUAGCCAGUAGGCCGAGUCAUGAUAGACGACGGGGCGAUAGUCAAUGUCAUGCCUACCCCGUUCUUUAAGAAGUUGGGCAAGGACGAGGACGAAUUGAAGCCAACCGACACGAUCAUGACCGAUUUCACUGGAAACGGUCAACAAGCUCGAGGGGUGCUCACGACCGAGAUUAUGGUAGGUUCUAAACUUUACGAACUGUAUUUUUUGUGGUGGAUGCAGAUAGCCACUAUAACCUACUGCUGGGACGCGAUUGGAUAUACGCAAACGAGUGCGUGCCUUCCACACUCCACGAAAAAUUAUUCCAGUGAAUAGGAGAUAGAGUUGAAGAAAUUCGGGCCGAAGGACGGCCCCAAAUAGUGGAGAUCAACUUAGAAGAGAUCGACAACAUAUAUUGGGCCGACGCUGACCCAGAUCAAAUCUCUUUCGUAAGAGUCACUUAGGAGGGAGUGCAAUUGAUUCUCUCUAGAGAUGAAGCUGCUAUGGUGGCAGCCGAAGAGCCACCAAGCCGGUUAAAAUGAAACGUGAAGAAUCAAGAACCGAAACUUUAGAGGAGCUUCGGCAAGAGGAGCCGAUCGACAGGAUCGGCUAUGUGAUAAAUUCGGCCCAGCAGGCCAAUGACGUGGUGUGCAACAAGAAGGCCGAGACGACCAAUAAUGAUAUAGUGAAAUUGGCUGUUAAAGCCGAUACAAAAAAUAUGGUGAAAUCGGCUGUUACAGCCGAUAGUGAAAUAUUACAUGAAAUGAAAAGGCAAACAACCGAUUUGAACUUAGAAGAGUCGCCUAUCAAAGUCGGUGAAAAAAAGUUGGAAACACAUGAUCCACUAAUUGAGGUGAACUUAGGAUCCGACGAAGACAAACAACCGACUUAUAUUAGUGCCAAGCUUUCGGCUCAACAACAGGAGGAGCAGAAAGAAUUGUUAAAGGAGUACAAGAACUGCUUUGCCUGGAACUAUGAAGAAAUGCUAGGACUAAGCCGAGAAGUUGUAGAACAUAGGCUACCUAUUAAAAAAGGAUGUAAGCCUUAUAAACAGCCGGCUCGUAGGUUUGAGCUGAGUAUUGUACUCCAAAUCAAAAAUGAAAUAGAAAAUCUUUUAAAUGUCGGUUUUAUUAAAGCGGCCCGUUAUGUUGAUUGGGUAUCCAAUAUAGUUCCAGUGCGAAAAAAGAAUGACAAACUUAGAGUUUGCAUUGAUUUUAGGAACUUAAAUUUGGCUACACCUAAAGAUAAAUACCCAAUGCCAAUAGCCGAUAUGUUAGUAAAUUCGGCUGCCGGUAAUGAAAUCCUGUCUUUCAUGGAUGGACAUGCCGAUUAUAAUCAAAUUUUUAUUGCCGAAGAAGAUGUGGCUAAAACGGCCUUUAGAUGCCCAGGGUCUAUUGGAACCUUUGAAUCGGUAGUCAUGUCGUUCGGUUUAAAAAAUGCCGGAGCUACUUAUCAAAGAGCAAUGAAUUUUAUUUUUCAUAAUUUGAUCGGCAAGAUGUUGGAGAUUUACAUCGAUGAUAUAGUUGUGAAAUCCAAAUCACAAGCCGAACAUUGGGUAGAUUUAAAGCUCGCCUUUGAAAGAAUGAGAAAAUAUAAGUUGAAGAUGAAUCCUUUGAAAUGUGCUUUUGGAGUCUCAGCAGAAAAUUUUUGGGGUUCUUGGUACAUAAAAAGGGGAUUGAAAUCGAUAAAAAUAAGGCGAAAGCUAUAUCAAAAUUGCCGCCACCAAAAAACAAAAGAGAGUUGCAAAGUUUAUUGAGGAAAAUCAAUUAUUUGCGGCGAUUUAUAUCAAAUCUAGCCGGUAGGAUAGGAGUUUUCACUCCAUUACUUCGGCUUAAAAGUCAAGAAGAAUUUAUUUGGACGGAGGAACAACACGGAGCAUUUGAAAAUAUAAAGAAAUAUUUAACAAAUCCUCUAGUUCUUAUGCCUCCUAAACACGGACAGUCGAUGAAGCUAUAUAUUUUGGCUGCAGAGGAAAAUUUGGGAUGUUUAUUGGUCCAAGAAAAUGAAGAAAAAGAAGAACAUGCCAUUUAUUAUUUAAGCCGAUGAUUAUUAGAUACCGAAAAACGAUAUUCGGCUAUCGAAAAAUUAUGUUUGGCCUUAUACUACUCUUGUACAAAAUUAAGAUAUUAUAUUUUACCAACCGAAGUAUCGGUAAUAUGUAAAACCGAUCUAGUAAAAUAUAUGUUAUCUAAGCCAGUGUUGAGAGGACAAAUCGGAAGAUGGAUGUUAGCAUUAUCUGAAUUCUCUUUCAAUUAUGUGCCGGCAAAAGCUGUUAAAGGACAAGCGAUAGCCGACUUUCUGGCUGAUCAUCCAUGUGUUGAAAUUGAAGAGCCGAAACAAAAUUAGUUGGCUGUCAACCUUGGAUAUUGUAUUUUGACGGCUCAAGAACAACCGAGUCAGCGGGAGCUGGAAUAGUUGUACAAUCUUUUGAGGGAUAUACCCAUCAUUUUGCUUUUGAAUUAGAUUUCGGCUGUUCCAACAAUCAAGCCGAAUAUGAGGCCUUAAUAAUUGGCCUCGAAAUUUUACAAGAAUUGAAAGUUAAGUCACUUAAGGUCAUCCGUGAUUCACAAUUAGUGAUCAAACAAGUCAGUGGGGAAUACCGAUGUGAAAAUCAGAAUUUGCAAAAUUAUUUGAGAAAAACAGUAGAAUUGCUUUGCGGCUUCGAAGAAGUAGAAUUCGAGCAUUUGACAAGAGGAAAAAAUGAACAAGCGAAUGCAUUAGCCCAAUCGGCUUCAGGAUAUAGAGAGCCGAAAUAAGGUCUAAUAAAAAUAGAAAGAAGACUAUUACCUUCAGUUUAUAUUCGAGAACCGAUUAUUGUCCCCAUAGAGGUGAAAGAGGAUUGGAGAAAAUUCAUAAUCGAAUACUUAGAAGACCCAACAAAAAGAUCGAAUAUAAUAUUUGAAGAAGAGCACUCGGCUAUUGUCUGUUAGAGGGACAGCUCUACAAGAGAACAGCCGAAGAGAUAUUAUUAAAAUGUUUAGGGCCUAAAGAAGCUCUAUUGGUGAUGGAAGAAACACAUGAAGGCUUAUGUGGAGCCCAUUUUGUAACAUACCGAACUUCGGUAGACUAUGUUGGACUUUAGCCAAAUUGACCAAAGUAUGCGAAAGAAAUGGUUGGACAAGUUCUAUUUAACAUUCCAACAAUGUUGGAAGGGCUAAAGUUGAGUUCCAAGGGAGUUAGAAAGGUUUUAGCAUUGCUCGGCGCGAAUUGAAUUCGAAACAAUGCGAGAUUGAGGUUCGGGAGCAUUCGGGUGUUUCGGUGCGCGUUGGCGCGAAAACGGAACCCGAAAGGCUAUGUUGGAUCAUGGGUUAAAUCCGGCAUAAGCGGGGAUGAAAAGAUGGUUGAGACACGCUUGAAAAUAUAUUUUGGGGGUCUUGGUGUGAUUUGAGAUGAAUCGGAGGCCUAACGAGCGAAAACGAGCGAAAACGGAGAAAAGCUGAAAAAAUUGGCUAAGUCCUAAAAAGGCUAUGUUACCGGUGACAGAAUUAUUUUGUACCGAUACACAAUGUAUUACCCGAGAAGGUAGCUCUCGGGUUUGGCUGUUGCGCGAUCAUGUUACCGGUGACACCAUGAAGUGUACCGGUACACUUUUGUCUGGCAGCAAAGAAAUAGUCUGCUGCAAUUUUGAAGAGUUGGGAGGUUUUUGUUGCUAUUGUUACACACUAUAAAAUAACCCAAACCCUCUCCCCUUCACAGCAAAAUAAAAACUCUCCUCUCCUCUCUCAUUUCUCUCCUCUCUCUCUUUAGAAACUCUCUACCAAGGUGGGUUAGAGGUGGAUUGGAAGGAGAUCAAGUGGAGAUUGGAGCUUUGGGGAAGAUCAAGAGCUCUCCUACAAGGUGGAGCUUGGUGGGCAUCUAGGCGAAGGUGAGGUUUCUUAUGAGAUUGAUGUUAGGGCUUGGUUUUAUGCCCCAAAUCUUUUGGAUUUGAUCUUCUUGCAUGUGUAGAAACCUCGUAGAGACUAUAAAACAUGUGGAAAACCAUGUUUGCUCAAGUGCUCUCAUAGUGAAUUUCAAGGGUUUGUUCUAAACACCGUAAGAAUGGUUUAGAUAUUUCUAGAUGAGUUUCUAGAUGUUGAACAAGCUCUCUUUUACUUGUUCUAGAGAUCAAAAUCAACGAUUGAGCAAAGGGCAUUGUUAGGGCACCAAAAUUAGGACUUUUGCCCUAGGUUGUUUUCGAGACAAAUUGACCUUGUAGAAACCUAAUUAGGGGUAUUUUCGAUGCGUGGAAGACUCGGUUCGGUGAAACGAAGAGUCUACACGAAGUUAUUGACGAAAAGGUCGAUUUUGGUAUAGAUAGCCGCAGCACGCGGAAUAGGCGUUCAAAAAUCACGAGAACGGAUCCGGAGCAUCUUGGCAUCAAGAUAUAGAUCUAACAAUUUUCAGAUUUUGGAUUGGUGGCCGGUUGGUGCUCGAGUGUGAGUUCGGGCCGAACCGGGCAACGGGUGUCGCGGGAGGCCGAUUGCAAAUGACUACAAGCAAUCGGAACACGUUAAGAGGUGGGUUGUGUUUACCGAAGCGACUAGGUCGCCUCCAUGUCAAAGUAGAGCUUGAAUUCAUAUUGAUGUAUAUUAUGGUAGUUGUAGCAUUUUGGAUGCAUAGAUGCUAAAGAUAUAUAAACUGCCAUUAGAUAAAGACAUGGACUAGAAAUGCUAAGUGGAUUGCAUGUGCAGGUUAAUAUUAUGAUAACCAUGCUAGUUGAUGAUUGCAUAAUGAUGCAUUGAGAAUAUAUGCUAGUGAAUAGAUUCAUGUUGGCAUAUAUAUGCAUAGUGGAAUAAAUGCUAGGUACAUGUUAGCAUUGUGAGAUCAUGUUAGGGAGCAUGCAUAUGGACAUAUUGUUGAUUAUGUUAGAUAAGAUGCAUGUUAGCUUUGUAAACUCGAUAUGGAUAAUUAGGAUGUCAAAUAGAUCGAGUGGCAUUGAACCUAGUGUUAAUAAACAUAGGUUGGACAUGAAUGACAUUGAACCUAAUGUUAGUAAACAUAGGUUGGAAUAAGAGUGGUAUCAAACCUAGUGUUAAAGAACAUAGGUUGAGAAUUGAACCUAGAGUCAAGUAAACCUAGGUUUUGUGAUAGAGGCAUUAAACCUAGAGUCAAUGGGACCUAGGAUAGAAAGGACAUUGGACCUGGAUGGGUCUAUACUAUAGGGUGAGACCAACCCUAGAGUUGUGGAAGUGGAUUCCGGAAUCCCUAGGAAUGAGUGCUGCUAGUGCAGUGGCUGCUAGUGCAGCGGAUCAGCCUUGCGACCGAGCGCAAGUGUAUGGCAACUGCAGGUAUGUGUGGUUCUCCUCGCCUGGCAAUGACUCAUCGGGUACGUGUGGUUCUCCUGGCCCGGUUUGAGUAUGAGAUUGGGGACGCGGGUACGUGUGGUUCUCCUCGCCCGCAGGUCCAUUGAGCGUCUUGUGAUCCGGGGUUCGAUGGAUAUCCUCACCCUGUGAGUAGACCCAUAGUCGAGAGGAUUUAAGGCUGAGGUGCAUGUGAGACGUCCUUCGCCUCGAGCCUGACAGAGUGCGGAUUAUCCGCAGUUGAUUGACUCAAGAUUGAGUCGAGUGGCAUAGUUGGCUAAGGUAAAGGCAACCUUAGGAAAGAAUGGCCAAUGAGUAUGUUGUGACUAAGAAUAAAGAAUAAAGAAUAAAGAAUGGCUAAUGUUAAAGAAUAGCAAAUGCUAAAGGAUAACUAAUAUGGAAAAGAAUGAUUAGCGAUAAAGAAUGGCUAAGAUAAAGAAUGGCUAAGAGUAAAGAAUGAUUAAGAAUAAUGAGUAGAAUUAACUAAUCUACAUGCAUGAGUUACAUGAUUUGCAUAUUGCAUAUUGUGAGGCAUAAACAUGUAUCUAAUAUUUGCAUAAAUAUUAUUUGUUGAUAUCUAUUGGACUAACAUGUUUGCAGUGCCUCCUUUGGACCUGGUGGGUCGAACUUUUUCCUUGGGUGGCCGUACCCACUGGGAACUAUGGACAAUAGUUCUCACCUCCGUAUUAUUUUUGGGGGUACAGGUUCACAUGUGAGCGGCGUGACGGCGCGAGGAAAGGACGUAGCUCCGUAGAUAGUGCCCUACCACACAGACCAGAGAUAGCAGUACCCUGAGUCGGCUUAACUUAGGGUUGUAAAAGAAAAAGAACCAAGUUAGAACUAAUUUGUAUAACUAUGUUAGAUCGGAUUGUAUUUGGAAGCUAAAAAUAGAAUAAAAAUGUAAUGUAAUAUGUGAGAUGAAUGAUUAUAAUAACUUAGUUGUAUUUAUAUUUUCGAUACCUUCCUUAUGCAAUCUAUGUUGUAUGCUGUUCCUGGUUGGAACCUCAUGCAUUGUUUGGAUUGUGAUGCCUCGGACGUACAGAGGAGACUCUGUCUGCGGUACAGGGGAAGCCCUGUCCGUUUGGCGGUCUGUUGGCGUACCCGAAACCGACCAAAUAGGCGGGCUCGGGGCGUGACACAUUUAGCAAGAAAAAGAUUAAGAUGGACAAUCCGGCACUUAGGAUAUUAUUGGCCGACUAUGCAUCAAGAUUGCAUAGAAUAUGCUAAGGGUUGCCAAGAUUGUCAAUUUCAUGGAUCAAUACAGAGAGUUCCUGCUUCUGAAAUAUAUGCAAUAAUUAAACCUUGGCCUUUUCGAGGUUGGGCCAUGGAUUUGAUUGGAGAAAUUCAGCCGAACUCCUCGGCUGGUCAUAAGUUUUUAAUAGUGGCCGUUUAUUAUUUUACUAAGUGGGUAGAAGUGAAACCUGCUCGAUUGAUCACUCAAAAGGAAAUUAUUGAUUUCGUUGAAGACUCAAUAAUUCAUCGCUUUGGGAUUCGCGAGACGAUCACAACCGAUCAAAGAACAAUGUUCACAGGAGGAUAGUUCAAUCGGUUCAUUGAAUCUCGGAAGAUCAAGUUACUUCACUCAUCAACCUAUUAUGCUCAAGCUAAUGGACAAACUGAGGCAGCAAAUAAGGUGAUUAUAAAUCUUAUGAAGCGGCAUAUCGAAAAACAUCCAAGGAAAUGGAAUGAAAAGUUAUCCGAAAUAUUAUGGACAUGCCGAACUUCAGUAAAAACAGUAGCGGGGAUGAUGCCGUUUCAAUUAGUAUACGGCUACGAGGCCGUGAUACCAGUCGAAAUAAUAGUCCCUUCUUUAAGAAUGGAAAGGCAAAACGAACUAUCGGCUGAUGAAUAUAGUAAUUUGAUGAAGAAAGAAAUGGAAGAAAUACAUGAAACACGGUUGAUGGCAUUGAACCAUUUGCAAGCUUAUCAAAGUCGAGUACACAAUGCAUAUAUGUAAUAUACCGAAACUUCGGUGAAUAAAUAUCGAACUUUAGUCAAAUUGACCAAAGUGCAAGGAUGGUACACUUCGGAAAGUCCCAAGGUGCUAAAAUGAUCAAAAGUGCGUUGUGGGAGGUCUUCGAGAGCUAAAGAGUCAAAAUUCUACAAACUGCAGAUUUUCAGCUCUUGGGGACCGGUCCCUGAAGGAAGAGACCGGUCUUCGAACGCGUGAGAAAUGAGAAAGCUGAAAAAUCGGCUAAGUCCCAGAAAAUCAGCUCUCGGGAACCGGUCCCUGCGGGGAGAGACCGGUCCCCGAGAGACCGGUCCCUCUAGGAGAGACCGGUUGCUUCGUGCGAAAGCCCCGCUGAGCUGCUGUCACGCCCCGGGGCUCAGCGGAAGCCUACCUGGCACGUGUCCAGACCCGCCAUACGUCUAAAACAUAUAAGGCGUCUACAAAAUUUUCAAUAAUUAAAACAGUAAUACAAAGAGAUCUAGUGAUAUCAGAGCAUUUUACAAUUAGUUCUAAAACAAAGAAGAGAACAUAAAGCUGAUAAUCCAUUAAUAAAGGCAUAAAGUAAAUACAAUAGGAGCCCCAUAACGAGUGCUAAGUGAAGUACAAGGUGGUCUCUCUAUACAUGGCGCAAAACCUCUCCCUCUCUCAAAAUAAAAAAAGGGGGAGUAACCACCUAGCGCAAAAGAACUCUCCACGAGCUAGCUAAGCGACACCCUUGCCGCGAUCCCUUUCUGUUUUACGGCUCAGAUUUAAUUUCUUCUAAGUUGUGCCCUACAAUAGCAGAUCAUUUUGGAGAGCUACCGAUUAUUAGGUACCUUAAAGAUGAAUAUUUUGGUCUUUUAAUACGUGCUAUAUUAUCUAAAUCUCUCUUAUCUCUUUAUUUUUUUUUUCUCUCUCUAUCUUUUCUCUUCAUCCACAGGUAUCUCGUCGUUUUCAUAUGAGAUUCAAAUUAUUUGACAAUAUGGUUUUGAAUUUAUAUUUUAAAAAUUUAGAUUUAACAUAAUAUAUUUUGAAAUAUGAUAAAUAAAAAUAAUUAUUUCAGGUUCGGAUUUUCGGAUUUGAACUUGGUUUUGGAUUUUGUCAGUUUCAAGGUUGGUUAUGGAUAUUUGAAAUUUGUCCGGUUUGGAAAUGGGUUUUGCGGUUGAAGAGCCGGGUACGGAUUCAGUUUCAUAACAAUUUUUUUUUCUGACCAGUAAUCUUAAUCUUUUUAAUUUUUUCGUUUAAAAUUAUAUUUAAAAUAUUUAUUAUCUCCAACAGUGAAAGUGUCUUUAUGUUUAAAACGUUUAUUAUCUCUAAUAGUUUAAAAUUGUUCCUAAUCUUAUUCAAUAUAAUGGGUUGAACUGCACCGCUUGAUAGAAUAGUUUACGGUCUGAUUCGUUGAACUAAUUAAUUCAAUCUGAUUUUUAAAUCAUUGAUACUAACUCAAGGAAUAAAAAAAGUUAGGAAUCUAAUUGCAAUCCAAAAGAUAUGGAAUUAAAAUUUUAAAAAACAACUAAAAGCUGAAAAAUUUAAAAGGUAAAAAUAAAAUCCAACUUCAUAAAUCAAUUCAAUUAGACUGAUCAAAUUAAUAAACUAUAUAAAUAGUUUAGAUUUGUUCCUCAUAGAUUUAUUUAAUUGAACUAGGCUGGAAUACUAUCAAUAGUACCAAGCUAUUCGUGCUAUUAGUUUUUUAGCUUUUGAAUUGAGAAAUGUGUAGUUAGGAUGAUAUGGACCCCCCAGAGUUGAGUGAGGGGUUGGUUGAAUAGUAUAACCUAAAGGGUAAAAAUAAUCAAAGGGUUCAAUCUAACGGUGGAAAACUCGAUAGUAUCAAAUCCUUGGUGCUAUCGAUACUAUCCCAGAAGGACUUUAUUUAAUUUAUCUACGGUCCUAAUUUUGUUUACUCUAAUAAAACACUAUACUGGAGAUUUAAUAUAAGCGUAAAAUUUAAAUUAUACAAUCUAAAUUUAUUUAUUAGUAAGUUUAAAUUGCACUAUAUUAUUUAAAAUUAUAGGAGGUUUCUAUAUAUUUUU